rnacentral:lncRNA from 1 species
UAUUUGUUCCAGUCGUACCUUUUUAUUUUAUUCAUCAAUCUCUUAUCAAGUGGCUUCUCAUCUUAAUGGAAGUGUGAUGAUUUACUAUGGAAUUCAUUCGUUCAUCCUCGUUCGAAUGUUUAUUGUGAAGACUAUAUGUGGCAAUUUCUAUCCGUUGAUUCAACUUGUCUAUUUGUCUAUCAAGAUGCUAACGGAUGUCACCCUCUUCAGGAUGGCUCCGCCAACGCGUCAGAAUCCGGAACGCAAUGAAGGGAGUCAGGCGAACCCUCCGCCACCACCUCCGCCUCCGGAGGCAUGGCAAGCUAUCAUGGCAGCCACCAACGCCAAUGCUAAGAUGAUUUUGCAACUCUUGCAAGAACGCACCCAGGGGCAAGGCAAUCAAGGAAAUCAAGGCCAAGACAACAAUCAGCCUCACUUCGCUACCCUCAACCAGUUCCUCGCAAAUCAGCCCAAGUCUUUCAGCUACUGUGCCGAGGCCACAGACGCCGAUGAUUGGCUCGUGGACAUCAGCAAGCAUUUUGAAUGUAGCAAUGUCAGGCCUGAGGACUCUGUCAAGUUCGCUUCUUUUCAACUCAAGGAUCAAGCUGCCGAGUGGUAUCAACAAUACAAAGAUUCCAGAGGAGGUCGUGUGAUUACCUAGGAUGAUUUCCGCCGAGACUUCAAAGCUCACCACAUUCCACAAAGUGUUGUUGAGAGCAAGCGUGAGGAGUUCCGCAAUCUCAAGCAAGGCAGCAUGUCCGUGUAUCAAUACAAUACUCAGUUUCAGAAACUCGCUCGCUUCGCUAAGCAAGACGUUCCUGAUGAAAAGAGCAUGAUCUAUCAAUUCAGAGGUGGCCUCAGAGAAGAUCUGCAAUUACCUCUCGUGCUUUUUGAGCCGACCAAGUAUGAUGAUUUCUACAACAUGGCUCUGAAGCAAGAGGCUACUCAGCUCAAGUGUGAGGCUUCUAAGAAGAGAGUUAGGGAUGCAGUUUAGUCUUCUUCUUCCUCACUAGUGGCUGCUAAGCAACAGAAGUUCUGGUUGCCUCCUCCUCCUCCGUUUCAUCAGCCUUUCCAGCAGAAGAACAAAGGUGGCCAUGGAUCUUCCCACUCAUCCAACUCUGGCUAUCAGAACAAGUCUCAGAAUCAAGCUCCAAAGUCGAAUGCUCCUUAUCAUCGUCCACUCUCAGAGGUGACUUGCAACAAGUGUCAGCAGAAAGGUCACUAUGCUAACAAGUGCUUCAAUCAAAGGCGCCUUCCGCCUCCUCCUCCUGUGAGAUCUUCCAGCAAUGCAGUGGUCAAGCAUAAUCCCAAGUCUGCAAAGGUGAACAUGAUGAAUGCAGCUCAAGCGGAGGAAUCUACUGAUGUGAUAAUGGGUAAUCUCUCAGUUAAUGAUAUUCCUGCAAAAGUCUUAUUUGAUACUGGUGCAUCUCUUUCUUUCAUUUCAAGACCUUUUGCAUCCAAGCAUGAGUUGGUUUUUCAAGAUUUGCCUAGACCGUUAUCAGUUGUCUCUCCGGGUAAAUUCAUGAACGCAAGCUCCAUGGUUCCGGAUGUUUCCAUCAAGAUGGGCAACUAUAAAUUUAUGUCUUCUCCAAUUGUCCUUGGUGACUCGGAUAUUGAUCUAAUUCUCGGAAUGGAAUGGCUUUCUAAGCACAAGGCUCAACUUGAUUGUGCUGCCAGGGAAAUUAAAUUGACACACUCUUCUGAGGAUGUUAUCAUCUAUGCCGCUCGUGAUGAAACCAUUCGGUUAUUUUCUCCCAAUGAGAAGGGCGAAUUGGAUGCUAUUUCUCAUAUUCUAGUCGUUUGUGAGUACCAAGAUGUCUUUCCAGAAGAGCUUCCGGGUAUGCCUCCUCACAUAGCCGAGCAGGCUAGGAAUGACUUGAAGGAUUAUUAAACUCGUAAGCAACAAAAAUUACUUGAGUUAUUGAAUCGGAGUGUGGAAUUGAUUCACUUAUCGGUGUCUUUGAGGAGUUCUAACAACUCAGAACCCGUUGGAAAAAUGGAAUCGGCAAGAAUAUUAGUUGAUGAAGAACUCAUAAGAAGCUAAGUAGUUCCUUGGCAUUCUCGAGAUACCAGGUGGGUAAUACUCGACGACAGACCAAAGUAGAGGUUGGACGGGGGUAUUGCUCUGCAGAGGACAAGUGCUUAAACUUGCACGAGAAAUGGUAUUUAAAGGAGAACAUGGUCAGAACCACGAUUGCAAAAGGAUCAAUACACAGAUACUAGACGAUAUCAUAUCAAGGAAAUAGUUAUUAUUACAAGAAGCUUCUAUGAUAGGAUCUACAUCGUGUCCAUGGGCAUGAACACAAAGUUCAAGGUCGACUCCCACUUCUCCAAUGCAUACCCUUUCAUUCACUUCUCGCGUUUGAUGAAGUUGCAGUGUUGAAAAUUUUUAUCUGGCAAAAUACCAGAAGAGUAUGACUCGUGAAAACUUUCGAGCUCACACAUAUUAAGGAAGGCAUAGGUUCAAGCCAUUGGGGCUUCUUAGAACGUAUACCACGAACUUCAGAAGUAAAUAACACAAGCUCAAAAGCAGAGCAUGGUUGACAAAGCAGAGGAUACAAUUUACCAGAGGCAUUAUGUAUCCGAGAAGAGAACUUCCAAAGUGAUUGAAUAGGAAGGACGUUGUCGGAUAAAAUCCAACAAGGUUCUGAUGGUCCAUAAAGGAUCUGAUGUGAGUAUCGGCACACAACCAGAGGUAGAAUUAAUGCAAAGACCUUGGAUUAUAGAAACAACUAAGUAACUUAGAGCUCAAUUGCAAAGGAAUUAUGAUUUACAAAGCGAAGGAUCAGAAACAGACGCUCUAAUCAAGGAUGGAUAAGUUCAAUAGACAUAGGGGCACAAUCGACGACAAUUUGAUUGGCGAGAACCAUCUCACGUUUCAAAUGACGUCUAAGCCGGAAGGAUGAAUUCUAGGAUCUGAUUGAGGAUUGCGAGCAUUCGCAACAAAUUGAAUCAACGGACUCAAAAUGAUAAUGACAAGAGAUGCCAAUAAGAUUAUGAGACUUAAGAUUAAUCAUAAUGCAAGUAAGCAAGAAUUUCAAGAGCAAAAAGGCUCCUGAGGAUUUUCGGAAGAUCGAAUGGUAUUUUGAACACUUCUGUGAAAUACUUGAAUCAACUGGGGGUGAGCGGAUACUCGGUAAGUGCGAGAAUUAUCCGUAGGGGUAUUCAGGUGACAAAGAACAGCAAGGCAGUAAGCUCAAAGGAUUCUCGAAACAACAGAGAGAAUCUUGGGGUAUCUUGUAAUAACAAGAUCAACUGGGAAACAUUGUAUGAAUGGCGAGUAUACGUGGUUAUCCAUAGGAGUUUAUCGAUGGAAGGGAAUUGCAAAAGUGAUGAACACAAGUUCUCGGGUUAACAGCGGAGAGUGUCUUCGGGGUCCUCACGUGCAGCAGACGAUCAUCAGUAAUAAGGGGCUCUUCGGGUGAAAGUGAUAACGAGAUCCUAAUGUUAGAAUUAGCAAAAUUCAUUUAACCCGAAUAGAAGAGAGAUCAGAGUCCCGGAGUAUAGACAAGGAGUAAAAGAUCCUAAUACCACCCAAUGGCGACGUGGGCCCGUAAGCCACACAGCCAUGUUAGUAAAAGUUUUUCAAUGACUAGACUCGACUUUGACCAAGGAGUUGGAAAGGGGGAUUCCUACAGGCAGUUGGGUCUGAUACCAACUCGUGAGUCCCUGAUCUUGAUCGUACACAUUUGCGUGCAUGAUUAGUGUACGGUCAAAUCGGGGGCGUCACACGUCCAUACAAGCUUGGACCCAAGGAGCUGAAGGAAUUGAAGAAACAGCUCGAUGAACAAGAGCGUCUGGGUUUGAUCAGACCGAGUUCAUCUCCGUGGGGUUGUGGUGUUCUUUUUGUCCAGAAGAAGGAUGGCACGGACCGACUUUGUGUCGACUACCGUCCAUUGAACAAGAAGACAAUCAAGAACAAGUAUCCACUUCCCAACAUCAAUGAGCUAUUCGAGCAACUUAAAGGUGCUAAAGUUUUCUCCAAGCUUGACCUUCGAAUGGGUUAUCAUCAGAUUCGCAUUCAUGAAGAGGAUAUUCCCAAGACAGCAUUCAGAACAAGCUUUGCUUCUUACGAAUAUACUGUCAUGUCUUUCGGCCUUGUCAAUGCUCCUCCAACAUUCUCUCGAAUGAUGAAUUUCAUCUUCAACCCCUAUACCAAUGAGUUCGUCCUGGUGUAUCUCGAUGAUAUCUUGGUCUUCUCCAAGAAUAAGAAGGAUCAUACCAAACAUUUGCGAUUGGUGCUCGACAAGCUCAGAGAGUAUCAAUUCUAUGCGAAGUUUUCAAAAUGUGAGUUUUGGCUUGAUGAAGUUCUUUACCUUGGUCAUAUCAUCUCUGCCAAGGGCAUCGCUGUUAAUCCCGAGAAGGUGUCCGCAAUUGUGAAUUGGGAACCUCCUCAGAAUGUCAAGCAGCUCCGCAGUUUUCUUGGUCUUGCAAGCUAUUGCCGAAGAUUCGUUGAGAAUUUCUCUAAGGUUGCAAAGCCUCUUUCCAACCUCCUCCAGAAGCAUGUGAAGUAUGUCUGGUCUCCUGAGUGUGAUGUUGCUUUCAAUACUCUCAAAGAGAAACUCGUCACAGCUCCUGUCUUGACUCCUCCUGACGAAUCCAAGCCAUUCGAAGUUUUCUGUGAUGCUUCUCUUCAAGGUCUCGGUGCUGUGUUAAUGCAAGAGAAGAAAGUUGUGGCUUAUACCUCUCGUCAGUUGAAGCCCAACGAAAAGAACUACCCCACUCACAAUCUUGAGUUGGCGGCAGUUGUCCAUGCAUUAAUAACAUGGAGACAUCUCUUGUUGGGAAGAAAAGUGGACAUAUUCACCGAUCACAAGAGUCUCAAGUACAUCUUCACUCAGCCCAACCUCAACCUCAGGCAAACUCGGUGGGUCGAAAUGAUUCAAGAGUACAAUCCGAGUAUUGAAUAUACUCCAGGCAAAGCCAAUGUCAUUGCAGAUGCUUUGAGCAGGAAGGCUUAUUGCAACAGCUUAAUUCUCAAGCCAUUCCAACCGGACCUUUGUGAAGCUUUCCGCAAACUGAAUCUCCAAGUUAUUCCUCAAGGCUUUCUUGCCAACCUCAUAGUCUCUCCUACUUUGGAAGAUCAAAUUCGUGAGGCACAACUCCUGGAUACCAUGGUGAAGAAGGUGAAACGUGGUAUUGACAAAGGUCUUUCCAAAUACAAGUGCUAUCGCAUUGAUGACAAAGACACUUUAUUCUUCGAGGACCAGAUUGUGGUUCCUAAAGGUGAUCUAAGGAAAGUCAUUAUGAACGAGGCGCACAAUUCUCUUCUUUCCAUUCAUCCUGGAAGUACGAAGAUGUACCAUGACCUCAAGCAGUCGUAUUGGUGGACUCGAAUGAAGCGAGAAAUCGCUCAAUUCAUGAACGAAUGUGAUGUCUGUCGAAGGGUGAAAGCAGAACACCAACGACCAGCUGGUCUCCUCCAACCUCUUGCUAUCCCAUAAUGGAAGUUUGAUCAUAUCGAAAUGGACUUCGUGACUGGAUUUCCUAAGUCCAAGCGUGGAAAUGAUGCUAUCUUCGUUGUCAUCGACAAGCUCACUAAAGUGGCUCAUUUCCUUCCAAUCAAAGAAUCUAUCACAGCAGCUCAGUUGGCAGAGCUAUACACCUCCAGGAUUGUCUCCUUGCACGGCAUUCCACAAUUGAUUUCUUCAGAUCGUGGAAGCAUCUUCACUUCUAAGUUCUGGGACUCCUUCCAGAAGGCCAUGGGUACCAACAUUCGCUUCAGCACAGCUUUCCAUCCUCAAACUAGUGGCCAAGUCGAGCGAGUCAAUCAAAUUCUUGAAGAUAUGCUCAGGGCUUGUGUCAUUUCCUUUGGCAUGAAAUGGGAAGAUUGUCUUCCAUAUGCCGAAUUCUCCUACAACAACAGCUUCCAAGCGAGUUCGGGCAAGGCCCCAUUCGAAAUCCUCUAUGGCAGAAAGUGUCGUACUCCUCUCAAUUGGUCAGAGACUGGUGAACGCCAACUUCUUGGUAAUGACUUAAUCACAGAGGCUGAAGAAAUGUGUAAAGUCAUCCGUGAGAAUCUCAUAGCCGCGCAAUCGCGCCAGAAGAGUUACUAUGAUAGUAAGCACCGUGACUUGGCUUUCGAGAUUGGACACCAUGUCUACCUCCGCGUCUCUCCAAUGAAAGGCACUCGUCGCUUCGGUAUUGUCACGACCGGAUUUUCGAGAUAAUAAUUUCCCAGAAAAACGGCCUUUGUGCUCACCAGCCCCAGGAUUACUGUUAACUGAUGAGGCACCAACUUGAUACAAGAAUUCCAAGCAAGGUACAAAAAUAUGUAGUACAAGACCAUUGUGGCCUAGGAGUACAACAUUUGGUUUCUAAUGGUUGAGGGCGGAAGCGGUUGGAUACAUCUGCGUCUAUGGGACUCCAUUUCCCACAAGAACAGCUGACCAGGAUAACUCCUAUCUUCGCAAGGCUGCUAUCGUCGCUGCGUAAGUACCGGGGCCGUCAUCGCGAUGCUUAUCUCCAAGCAACGAAUCUGGCCAAGACAAUAGCCAGGGACAAGCCAGUGAGUACGUUUGAAUGUACUCGCAAACAUUAAGAACACGGGUGUAAUAUAACAGGAGAUAAUCAUACUCCGAAACAUUUAUGAUGAUAAGUCCGCCAUGAAGUAAACAAAAAUCUGUGAUGCACGUGUGCAGAGAAAAUAUGGACGUGCAAUACGGGAGUAAAAGAAAUGCACUGAGCGAGAGUCUAAAAUGAUUCCUCGAAAGGUUGCAAACAAAAUAACGAUGCCGCAGUGUCACGACCGGUUUUUUAAUAAAAUAAUUAUUGAGAGACCAAUCCCUUUUACGGACCAGCGAGGAAGAAUUCCUUCUCACUGGUAGACAAUAUCUUGGUCACAGAAGAAAAGUACCAGGAGUACUAAAUAUAAUACAAGGUUGAGCAGAGACUGCCCAACAAUUUAUUACAUGCACGCCGCUAAGACAAGACGGCGGAUAGGGUGGCAAACUACUAACUCACGAUAAUAACGGUGGUGGAAAUAUCAUCGCGAAGCGAGUGAUAUGAUUCCAGAAGACUACAACUCUUCGAGCGUCGGAGUGAGGCUCGAGAAGACUUAUUGCGGGUGGCGGAAGCGUAUACAAAACAAGUGACCAAAAUCCGGGAUCGCGCAGGACUGACUGGGACUCCUCUAGGCAUCGGACGCGCUAUCAAACUCUUCAUCCAAGAGAUCGCCUUCGUCAACAUCUGGCCAAAUCAACAAGCCAGGUGAGUACUAUGAAAGUACUCGCAAGACAGUUCGGACAUAAGAUAUAACGAAUGCAACAUGAAGCAUAUGAACAAGUUAACCAGUGCGAUCAGACAUAGAGAUAAUAAAUACUGGGUGCCAAGCGAGGGUCUGAAUGACGCCUCGAGCGGAAACUGCAGAAUAGUAAUACUGGUGCCAAACGAGUGUCUGAAAGACUCCUCGAGCGGAAAAUGCGGAAUAAUAAUACAGGUGCCAAACGAGUGUCUGAAAGACUCCUCGAGAGGAAAAUGCAGAAUAAUAAUGCGGGUGCCAAACGAGUGUCUGAACGACUCCUCGAGAGGAAAAUGCAGAAUAAUAAUGCGGGUGCCAAACGAGUGUCUGAAAGACUCCUCGUGAGGAAAAUUCAGAAUAAUAAUGCGGGUGCCAAACGAGUGUCUGAAAGACUCCUCGAGAGGAAAAUGCAGAAUAAUAAUGCCACAGUCGGGCGUCGGGGCGACACCACAUAAAGGGCUUAUAACAGAAAAUAAAGACAGUGCAUGCCGCAGUCGGACGUCUGAGCGACAUCACAUAGAGGGCUUAUAUUUAAAGUGAGAAACGAGUACACGCCACAGUCGGACGUCUGCGCGACGUCUCAUAAAGGGCUUAUAUUGUAGCUCAAUAAUACAAUAGUUCGGGAACAUAAAUUAUCACAAGCAUGAGACAAAUAUAAAGUUAGUCCAUCCACAGGAAUAACAAUAAAUCUGAAUUUACCACUAGAGCUUGUUCACCGGGGACAAAUUUUUCACACGGAUAGAUAUGGAUAUAAUGUUUACACUACUUGAUCAUGGAUGCGAUGAUUUGGAAAGAAUUGACUCUGCAGAGUUUGUACUUAACCACAGCCAACGGAUUUCAGUAGUCACGGGGACUAGUUCCGUCUACGGUGUUUUGGAAGAAACACAUCUAACCAGUACACACCCAAUUCAACCAUCUGAAGCCAGGGAUCACCCUCAGCAACAUUCAAGAAAACCCUUGAGACGGGGAGGCUACAACCUUGCGUAGCAUGGGAUCAAAUUUCUAUACGCGCGCUCUAAGGGGGUGCCCCCCCUCUCGGUCCCAACCGGAAACACCCAUGCCCCCUGACCGGAUGACUGGCUUUAAUCCUGGGCCAAGGUACCAUCAUCCCGGCCUCUCUGUUUGGUGUGUACACGGAAAGAGGUUACCAACUUACUAAACCGCAUCCUGGCAAUGAGACAUGUGGUAGCACGGAAAGGGGAAAGAACGGUAACGUGGCUCCAACCAUGUUAACGUCGGAGAAAGUCGGAUGACGCAAGGCUGGUAUGCUACAACAGUACCACCUUGCUGCCCUUCAUGUCACCACAUGAUUUGGCCAUCUCUCAUCAGAGAUCAUCGCAACUUUGGAACAUGCGGGAAAAGAACGAUAACGUGGCUCCAACCACGUUAACGUCGGAGAAAGUCGGAUGACGCAAGGCUGGUAUGCUACAACAGUACCACCUUGCUGCCCUUCAUGUCACCACAUGAUUAGGCCAUCUCUCAUCAGAGAUCAUCGCGACUUUGGAACAACCGGGUCGUUGCCUUACAAGCAAUGAGGUAUUUACCGACACUCAUAUGCCACGCACAAACUCUCACGUGAACAUGUAAAACACCUGUCAUAUCAAAUGUUCAAAACAUGCUUGCCUGGUUCGGAGAAGUCGGAGUCUAGCUCGGCGAAGUUCGCGGCUCCUUCACCUCUUCCAGAACCAAGAGCUUCAGCAUCUUCUUCCACGUCGGUGGGUGGUGGACUCGUCCAACGGGGAGCACUACGUCGACGGCGACACUAUCUCCGGCGGACGGCGGCUCGGGUGAGGAUGGGGAACUCCGGUGGAGGGCUGCAAGGGGGGCGAAUCGGGCUGGAUCCCGUGGCGGGUCGCGGCGGCCGGAGUCGAGGAAGGAGACCUCCUCGGGGCUCUUCCAGUGGCUAGGCUUGCUCUAGGGGGAGUGCAGGGAUGGUGGGUGCUAGAGUUGAAGCUCGGGGCCUCUAUUUAUAGGCACAUCGACGGGGUGGCCGUGAACGGAGAAUCUCCGGCGGGCGAUUACGGCGGAGCAGUGGAUUGGCAGGUGGUUUGAGCGGCCAGGCAGCAUCAGUGGAGGUUACUGGAGUCGUUUCACAGCUAAACGGAGGUGGUCUUGGCGUAAUGGCGUCGGUCCACGGUGAGGUGACCGCACGGGCUCAACGGCGGCAGAGAGCACGCUCCGCGCCCUGCGGUUCACGACGAGAGCGGCAGCGCAUUCGGGGGAGUGGAAGGCCACGCGGCGGGCUCCGGUGGUUUGGGCGGCGCUGGGUGGCGUCGUCGGCGCCGUGUCUCCCGCUGGCGUCCGCAAAGCCGCCGCCGACGUCGGUCACGGGGCGGCGCACCUUCUGCUGCUCGUCGCCGACGCCCGCAAGGCGCCAGGCGUUCGUGCGGUGCAGGAACAAGAGGGCGGGGACGAGGAUCAAGGCGACGCGGUGGUACUGGCGAGAUCGAUGUCCUUCUCUGAAGAAAACGACAGCAAGCCACUGACUGAAUCUCUGAAUUUACUGAACUUGACAUAGACAGUGCACUGCAGGUGUUCGACAGAAGGUUUUGGCUAUGAGAUAAAUUUUUCUGGAGCUGUAACUUGGUGAGAUGACCAUUCAAUGCACCCAGGGGCUGCCUGAUUUUACUUGGAAUUUUUGGAGAAGGUUUUGAAUGAAUUUCACCAAAUUUGACAAAUCUGGUCCAAACUUGCAGCAGGUAGUUUGAAAAUUUUGUACUGAAGACCAGUGGAUCUUCAUGGAUCUAGGUUGAGGGUUCAAAGGACUAGGAGGGGAAAAAGGUUUGGUGGCAAAAAUCAAAACAGAAAAUGGAGUUCCUUUGUAAAUCUCCAAGUGCUAGAAGAGAAGGCAGAAUUUUGUUUGAAUAGAAUUUGAAUGGAAAUAAUCACAUGGGGAGGUUCAACUUUCUGGAUUUGAUGCAAAAUCAUGAUCCAAAGGUGAGGAAGUGGUUAGGAGAGAGGAUUUGCACUAAUGCCAUGGCAAGAAGGAAUUGUUGAAAGUGGCAAAUGAUUUUCCAAAAGCCAUAGUGCAAAAUUCAAAAAGAUUUUCAAAAGUUAUUUUCCCAAAUGAAAAACAUUUUGUCUUGAGUCCAAGUGAAAAUCAAGAACCUCCAAGACCAAAGACAGAUCUUGGUUGAAUCCAAAUACAACUUUUGCCAGAAGGAAAAAUAUUUGAGAGUGAGAGUUCUCUUGAAGAAAAAAUUUAAAUCACUCCCCUCAAGUCAAAUAAAAUCUUUUGAAAAAAAUCCAAAUAAAAACUUGGGUGUCACACGCAGUAAUAAUGCCGGUGCCAAACGAGGGUCUGAAUGACUCCUCGAGAGGAAACUGCAAGAAUAAUAAUGCCGGUGCCAAACGAGGGUCUGAAUGACUCCUCGAGAGGAAACUGCAAGAAUAAUAAUGCCGGUGCCAAACGAGGGUCUGAAUGACUCCUCGAGAGGAAACUGCAAGAAUAAUAAUGCCGGUGCCAAACGAGGGUCUGAAUGACUCCUCGAGAGGAAACUGCAAGAAUAAUCAUGCCGCAGUCGAGCGUCGGGGCGACACCACAUAAAGGGCUUAUAAAAGAAUAAAUAAACCACAAGCAUGCCGCAGUCGGGCGUCUGAGCGACACCACAGAAAGGGCUUAUAAAAGAAUAAUCACAGUGAAUAUCCAGGAGGUAGAACCAUCCCAGGGAUACUCAAUAAAAUACAUAAUGUAAAUGGUUAGUCCAUAUUAAUAAUAAAAUUUAAGCAUGAUCCUCAGAUGUCACAGGUCAUAAACAAAAGUCUAGUCUAGCCGUUUCUCCAUCCGAAGACCGUCACUGAGUUCUAGUUAAAUCGUUCUCCAUCCGAAUACCGUUACUAUGAUCCAGUUAGCCGUGUCUCCAUCCGAAAACCGUCACUGAGUUCUAGCUAAUUCGUUCUCCAUCCGAAUACCGUUACUAGAUUCCACUCAGACUGUGGUCCUUACCUAUGAACAUGGCUAUCCAACAGGAUAUAUCCUCUACAGAGGGAGUACUAUUUUCCCACGAGUAACGGAUUUAUUUAGUCCAUCGGGACCAAUUCCGCCUAUGGCCUUUUAAUUGAAAACACGCCUGACCUGCACACAGCAGCUUAACUCACCGAUGUCUGGAAUCACCCACGACACGUGCCAAGCAAAACUCUAAGUGGGGAGGCUACAACCUCGACGUAGCAUGGGAUCAAAUUUCUAUACGCGCGCUCUAAGGGGUGCCCCCCUCUCGGUCCCAACCGGAAACACCCAUGCCCCCGGACCAAGUGGCAUGCCUACCGGAGGCCUCCGGUAUCUUCCACUAUGGCCUCUCUGUACGGUGUGUGCUUUGGUAAGGGGUUGACAACUUACUGAACCAUACCCCGUCUGCGACAGGAACAAGUGGUGGUACCAACAAAUAGGGAAGCUACUGACCAAAACUCGACUUACGACCGACUCAGGUGGUCCAAGUGUCCUCCAACAAUAUUACCAUUAGUGGAAUAAAUCAUCACUCAUCAAGCCUCACCAUGCCAUACCGGACAUACUCGUCUCGACGAGGGACUAGGGACAAGCUCGUGUCUACCCAAGACCACGACUUUCUCGGCUUCCUUCCGGUAUGCAUGAGGGGCUCACGAGGAUGAUCCAAAACACUAGCGUAUCCAUUGCUGACCACAAAAUAACUCCAAAAAGCACUCAUGCACGAGACUUUAUCGUUACAUAAAGAUAACGCAUACUCCAAGUCAAAUGGUCUUGUAAUCGUAUCAGAACAUCACAACAAAACAUUAUGCCAGAGUUCAGAAAUGCUUGCCUUCAAGAGUAUGCAAGGGAUGCACUUUUUGGAAGCUUUCCCUUUUCUCCAAAAUCCUAUUUUGAGAAAAAUCCAAACAACACAUAUUUCAAACACAGUCCAAAAAGUUGUCUCAAAUAUUUUUGAAAUAAAUCUUAAAAUAAACUAGAUGAAAUUUGAGAGAGGUAGGAAAAAGAAUCAACUCAUUUGGAGUUUUAUUUUAAAAGUUAUAGCUGGUCAAAGUCUGGUCAAAACUCUGUUUUAAAUAAAACCAGAAAAAGGAAAACGUUUCGAGAGAAAUACGCUUUCGCAGCAGAGGAAACGUACUCAGGACGUCUGCGUCUUCACUUAAUCAGGGGAGACGGCGCGCGAGUCACUGACAGUGGGUCCAGAGGGCCCACUGGUCAGGUUUGACCGUUCUCCCCCUCCCUCCUCUUCUCUACCCGACGGGAGCGGGACUCCGGCGAUCGCCGUCGAUGAACGGCAGCGCCUCACGGGCAUCCGAGGGCGGGGAUGGAACGGCCAGACUGGGGUGGUCCUCUAGGUGGUCGCUGGGUCGUCGGAGGUGGAAGGAGUCGUCGGCGGCGAGCUCCACGGCGGAGGGGGCUACGGUGGUGAAGUGGUUUAUGGGCUCCGGUGGUCUCCGAUCGAGGUUGGGUAGUUGGGCAGCUCCGCAAGGACAAGGGGAAGCUACUGGUGGCGCUGGUUGGGCGAGGGAGUGACUGGAUGCGACGUAUCGCACCGGAGCUUAGUGGUGGCCGCACUGGCCGGAGACGAGGAAGAUGGCCACUACGGGUCGAUCCACUGCCUGGGGAGCGCUAGGAGAAAAGUCUGAGGUUGCCUGAGGUCUUGAACGAGCUCGGGGAUCCCUUAAAUAGGCGCUCGAGGUUGGACCGCGGCGGCUGAGGAUAAGAUCACCGGCGACAGCCGUGCUGUAGCUGCAGGGCGACGUGGCGGCGACGAGCGUGUGCCGACGAGCUUCGGGAUAAGACCGGGCUGUUCACAAGGGCAGCUGGCGCGCUGGUGUGGUUUGGGCGGUGCCGAACAUGGCAGAGGCUCACUGUCGACGCCGGCGUGCCGCCAAGGGCUCUGCCAGCAGCGCUGCAGGGCGCCAGAGAUGGCAUGGAGAGGGGGCGAGCUAGUGCGCGGUUCAGCGGUGGAGCAGGGGGCAGGGAUGGGUCGCGUCGAGUGCGGCAGUGCGGCGCGGCGGCUCAGUGCGCGCGCGUGCAAAACGUGCGCUCUGGGCGCGCCCAGAGCACGCACGGAACCUGCUCGACGAAAUGCCAGGGCUGUCUAGAGCGCGAGGGUGGGGCUGGCAAUUAACAGGACUAGGAUAGAGACAGCUAGGAGUUCAGUGGACAAGGUUGCCGGGUCAUUGGAGCAAGUUCACAGUGCAAACUAGGAAACAUGCCCAAAACUGACUGUGCACACCAAGUGCUCGACAGAAUGCCAAGUGCACUUAGGCAACUCUUGGAGUGGCCAAAAUCUCCAGAUCAGGGUCUCUUUAGGUGUAGGAGAUGAUGUCAAGAUCAUAAGGGCAAAACCAGAAACUUGUUAGUGCAAGUUUUGUAAAACUCCAGUUUUGGACAGAAAGAAAAAGGGUUUAUUGCAUGUACUUAAAAACCUCCAAUGAGCCCACUCUCCUGGACUUAAGGGUUUUGAAGGGAGGGCUACAAGUAGGAAAAAGCUCAGGGUCACUAGAGCAAAAUAAAAUAAGGUUGCAGUACAAACCACCAAAUUGGACCAGAAUGCAAAAGAGGGUGAUUCACUCAAAUUUUUCAAAGAACAUCACUGGGUUUUUGCAUAGAGUUGAAUUGUAUGCAUCCACUGACAUCUCCAAACACUUGGAAGAAUUUUUAAAGAAAUAUUUAAAUGGGUUGUAGUGCAAAAGUGCCUACUGGACCAGAUUGGAGAAGUUGGUGUAGAGCUCAAAAUCUCCAAUGGCCAAAAGGUAUUUUUGCAUAAAAGUGAUGUGGAAACAUCACAUGACAUCCCCAAAUUUUGGUGGAAAUUUUAAAUGCAUUUGUCAAAUGGUUGUAGUGCAAAACAGGCUCCAAAUUCAAAAGAAAUCAUUUUAAAAGAAUAAAACUCUGAGAAAACAAAUCUUGCAAUUUAAAUCCACUGAUAAAGAAUUGUUUUAUUGUAGAGAGUAUUCAAGUCCAACAAUACUCUUUGAAGGUUUUUCCACUAGAGGCAAAAAUCCAAAAUCACAAAGGGUAAAUCUUGACAAAAUGGAAAAGUUUUAUUUCCUGGCAAACUUUUAAUAAAUAAAACAAGGUCAAAAUUUUGGUGUGUCACAGGUACCAAAGGGAAGCUUGCCCCUAGAUACGUGGGUCCUUUCAAGAUCAUUGGCAAAAGAGGCGACCUCGCCUAUCAACUUGAGCUUCCUUCCAACUUCGCCAACGUGCACGACGUGUUCCACGUGUCACAGCUUCGCAAGUGCUUCAAGACUCCGGAGCGCACCAUCAACUUCGAAGAGAUUGAUCUCCAAGAAGAUCUGUCUUAUCAUGAGCACCCCGUUGCUAUUCUUGAAGAAACUGAGCGCAAGACUCGCAACAAGUCAAUCAAAUUCCUGAAAGUGAAGUGGUCGCACCAUUCCGACCGAGAAGCCACCUGGGAACGCGAGGACCACCUCCGUUCCGAAUAUCCGGAGUUCUUUCAGUCCUAGAUCUCGGGACGAGAUCCUCUCGUAGUGGUGGAGUGUUGUAACACCCCGGAUGUAACUUUCCAUAUUUGUAACUCCAACUCUUGCCAUUUUCGGCUCUGUGUUAUGAUAUUCCCUUCGUGGUCGGGUUUUUGUCUUUCGUUUUGCAUUUUGUUCGUGUCAUGCAUCUCAUAUCAUGUCAUCAUGUGCAUCUCAUUUGCAUACGUGUUCGUCUCAUGCAUCCGAGCAUUUUCCCCGUUGUCCGUUUUGCAAUCCGACACUCCCACGCGCACCGGCGCACCCCUCUUGUUUCUUCUCGUGGGCGGGUGUUAAACAUUCUCGGAAUGUACCGAGGCUUGCCAAGUGGCCUUGGUACACCACCGGUAGACCACCUGUCAAGUUUCGUUCCAUUUGGAGGUCGUUUGGUGCUCCAACGGUUAACCGGGUAACCGCAAAGUCCUUUUGUGUGUUGCAGCAAAAAAAACCUCCAAACAGCCCAAAACCCAUCUAAGUCACUUCCAUGCUCUUGGUCGUUCGAUCACGAUCGUGUGGGCGAAAACCGCACCCCAUUUGGAGUCUCCUAGCUCCCUCUACCUAUAAAAACACCUCCCCCUCCGAAAUUUCGGGCAAAACCACCCCUAACCCUAGCAAAAUCGCCCUCCGCCGCCACCGGACACGUCCGCCGCCGCCGGACGUCCCCGCCGCCGUGCCCGCNNNNNNNNNNNNNNNNNNNNNNNNNNNNNNNNNNNNNNNNNNNNNNNNNNNNNNNNNNNNNNNNNNNNNNNNNNNNNNNNNNNNNNNNNNNNNNNNNNNNNNNNNNNNNNNNNNNNNNNNNNNNNNNNNNNNNNNNNNNNNNNNNNNNNNNNNNNNNNCCGGUGCCGUCCCGCGCCGCCGUCCGCCGCCUUCCCCGAGCCCCACGCCGGCCGCCGCGCCAUCCCUCCUUCUCCGGCGAGCAGCCGCUCCGACGAGCUCCGAUCCAGAUCCACCAGAGACGGUUGACUUUUCCUCCUCCCCCGAAUUUCUCCAAGUCCUGAGAUUUUUACAUUAUAUACUCCUGUUCAUCGCAUCAUAUCUCAUCGCAUACUUCUCCGUUUUGCGUGCAUAAUAUAUCGCAACAUUCGUCUCGUGAUGCUCUUCAUUCUGUUCCAUUAUGCCAUGUUCAUUUGAGUCCAUCUUGAUGCCCAAAUCUCUGGUGCAAGAAUGCUAUAUGAUGUUUUCUGCUGUUACUUAUCAGAACUUGAGGAUUUGUUAUUUUUGUUGCAUUUGAUGUGUGCAUCUUAUGGGCAUGAGCUCUACAGGUGUUUUGAUCUAUGUCAUGCUAUCUUUACAGAGGUGUAUGCCAUGUAUUUUUGUGAUCUAUGUGGUGACUAGCAAAAGCAUGCAAACUAGGCUUCGUGAUGUUUCUGAUUUCAGGGACUUGGGAUUUUGCCAAGUCUGUUACUGCUGUUAUUUUGUUGCCACGUAUCCAUGUGUCUACAAAGAGAUCCAUGCUUAUUUUGGGUAUGUUAAGUAAGGAUGUUUUGUAGAUAUAGUUGUGAUCUAUCCAUCCAUGCCCUUGUUUGCAAUUAUGGAGUGCCAUAGCAUGUCUUAAUCUUGCUCUACUUUUGCUAUAAAAUAUUCCUGGCAGAUUGUUAACAUGAUAUUCUAUAUUGCCAAGGUUGUUGUAGUUGAUCGAUACAUGCUAUGUACUUGCUCUUGCCAUGGUUAGCUUUAUAAACAUGCCAUCUUGCUGUAGGUAUGCUUGUUUUGUCAUGCAUUGCUUUGUGUUGAGUGAAUCAAGCUCACCAACAUGCCUUCAUAAUACUGUUACUGCCAUGCUCUGUUUUCUGCCAAGUCUGAAACCUGUUAACGGAACUUGCUAUAUUUACAUGGUUGCCAUCAUAUCUUCUGGUCCUUUUUGGCUCAUGGUCAGUAAGGGACUUUUGUUCUAUGCAUUUAGUAGAUUCAUGCUAUGCCUUGUUUUGCUAUGUUAAGUUCCUGUAGCAUGUGUUUUGCUUGCUCUGAACUUUGCUACCUGAUGCUGUUUCAGCCAUGUCCGGUAAUUUCACCAAGUCUGUGAACCUGAUAUCUUUUGCACUUUUGUCAUGCUUGUUUGAACCUGUUGUGGUGUGAUCUAGCCGUAGCUCGGCGUUCAUCUUUUGUCAAGCAUCUCCUGUAGAUUACUGUCAUGUACUUUGUUACUAUGUUGGGGUGCUGUAGCUUAGCUACUUGAUGUAUUCUAAGUGCUAUCAUGCUGUUAAUCGCAGAGUCGUGUCAUUCUUGUUUUGCUUGCCAUUUGCAAACCGUGCAUCCGUUUCCGGUGAUCUUUAUAUCGAUUUCGACCGAAAUCAUCUCAUCUUUCCAGUGGCAUACUUGGUUUGCCAAGUUACUGCCUUGUUCAUCCCUUUUUCUUCCUGUGGGUAGAGCCGGGAGACGAGUUCGUGAACGAGGAACCUGUUGAGUACACUUACGAGGAUCAAGCUUUCGACAACUCUGAGAACCUUGCAGGCAAGAUGACCAUACCCUCGAAAUCACUUCUAUCUUUGCUUUGCUAGUUGUUCGUUCUAUUGCCAUGCUGCGCUACCUACCACUUGCUAUAUCAUGCCUCCCAUAUUGCCAUGUCAAGCCUCUAACCAUCCUUUCCUAGCAAACCGUUGUUUGGUUAAGUUACCGCUUUUGCUCAGCUCUUCUUAUAGCGUUGCUAGUUGCAGGUGAAGUUGAAGUUGGUUCCAUGUUGGAACAUGGAUAUUUUGGAAUAUCACAAUAUCUCUUAUUUAAUUAAUGCAUCUAUAUAUUUGGUAAAGGGUGGAAGGCUCGGCCUUAUGCAUUGUGUUUUGUUCCACUCUUGCCGCCCUAGUUUUCCGUCAUACCGGUAUUAUGUUCCUUGAGUUUGCGUUCCUUACGUGGUUGGGUGAUUUAUGGGACCCCCUUGACAGUUCGCCUUGAAUAAAACUCCUCCAGCAAGGUCCAACCUUGGUUUUACCAUUUGCCACCUAAGCCUUUUCCCUUGGGUUUUCGCGAGCCCGAGGGUCAUCUUUAUUUUAAACCCCCGGACCAGUGCUCCUUCGAGUGCUGGCCCAAACCGAGCGAUGUCCGGCGCCCCCUGGGCAACCAGGGUCUAUGCCAACCCGACGUCUGGCUCAUCCGGUGUGCCCUGAAAACGAGAUAUGUGCAGCUCCUAUCGGGAUUUGUCGGCACAUUCGGGUGGCUUUGCUGGUCUUGUUUUACCAUUGUCGAAAUGUCUUGUAAACCGGGAUUCCGAGACUGGUCGGGUCUUCCCGGGAGAAGGUUUAUCCUUCGUUGACCGUGAGAGCUUAUAAUGGGCUAAGUUGGGACACCCCUGCUGUCGUGGAAUUUUCACGGCAGAUGUCCUCGUGUUAGGACUUAGUCGUGGAGCCAUCGCCGCUAGGAAGCUUAAAGGGGUUAACCGGGACAAGGAACACGAGGGUUAUACUGGUUCGGCCCCUUACGGUGAAGGUAAAAGCCUACGUCCAGUUGAGGUGGUAUUGCUUAGGGUUUCGAUGACCAGGGAGCUUAAUCACUAUGCCCGGUUCUCGGUCUGUUCUUUCUCGUUCUGAACCGCUGCCGGGUCGUCCCUUUAUAUAGAGAGGUUGAUGCCCGCGGCUCUCAGAGUCCCGGCCGGCUUAUAACAGUGUCCGGCUCGGACUCUUAACUACUCUUGCCUUACAUUACAAGUCUUGCCAUAACGGCGGGUUAUCACUACGGGCCUUAAGCCGCCUCCGGGUCUUAGCCCAUUACUGAUCCGCCAUCUUCAAGCUUGGUAUUGGGCUUCACGUGAUGAUCAUUAUGACGUAACCCGGCCUCUCCUGGGCGGGUGACUCUAAUGGUUAUAUCCUCAACAUUAGGCCCCAGAUUGAUUUGAACCGGUUCAUGUCAAUCUUCAAUCCCUUUGAAAGAAAAUCUUCCGGCUUCUGCUUGUGCGAAAGUUAUAACCCGCCGUGACGUCAUCUUCUGGAUUCUUGGUGACCCGCCGUGAUGUCAUUUUCCAUUAAAUUUAUUUUUUAUUCUGUCAUAUCGCAACGGAUCUUAUCUUUAAUGACCAUCCCGAAAAUCGAGGCGCUUCUGCGGCGAGAUAAUCACGUCUUGGCCUCCUCGUUUCUCGCACCCACUUAUCAGUCACCCUUAUAAAUAGGCCCGGCCCAUAGGCCUUCGUCACUCCUUCCUCCCUCGUCUUCCUCCUCUGUCGCUCCAGAGCUCGAGCUCCGCCGCCGCUGUCGCGCCCCCUGGUCUUCUCCAACCUUGGCCGCUGCAUCACCCUGAACUGGUCCAGAGAAACGGCGGUGACCUCCGCGACUCAUCAGCACUCGUAAGUCCUUGCCACUCCAUAGAGUAUAUCUGCAUUAGGGUUCUUGUCGUUCUCCCCUGUUCUUCGUAGUUCGUCGCCAUUUCUUCACAGUUCUUCCUACACGGCCCCCUUAGAUCCAGAAACCAUAUAGAACUCGUGCGGCUGUGGUUUCGCACCCAUUUUCAACAGUAGCAUGUGCCCUUUACUUGCAAAGAUAUCUUCUUAGAGCUCAUGAACUUCUCUGUAUCAGCUUUCUAGGUCUAGAAAUUUUUCCUUUCUGGACAAUUGUUUGAUCCAAAAUAAUUACUGCGAUCUGUGAAACUUGUUUGUGCCACACUUAGUCAAAAAUUGCAUCUGUUAGCUAUGGCGGCUCAUAUCUCCGGCUUAAAGAGGCCAUGCGCUGUGAAAUUUCUGGCUCAUUUAUGAUAGAGUUUUAAACAACUUAAAUGACUCAUGAUGCCCACAACGGCUUAGAUAACCCGACACAAUUAGCCAUAUGUCAUUAGGCCCCUUCAUAAGCCGCCAUCUUGAAUACUGAUCUGUAAUCUUCCUCCGGCUUAUAUUUGAACCGGACAUUUCCCUUUGUCAUAGGCUUUCGUCUUUCACAAUGCCGCCCAAGGCUCCCAAGGCACCCAUUACGUGCAAUUGGAUGAGAUCCAAUGUUACUGAUGAUACUUUAGCUGAUUUCGUGAAGACGGGUUACCUGCCUAAGAAGGAGGUCAUGUCUUAUCGUGCCCUUGACCCGUCCGAAGAAAGACCUUAACCAAGAGACGGAGAGGUUGUGAUAUUUGCUGAUCACAUGAGCCGGGGCUUUGCUCCGCCCGGCUCAAAAUUCUUCAGAGACGUUCUGAACUUCUUCGAUCUGCGACCUCAAGACACUGGACCCAAUUCCGUGUCGAACAUUUGUAACUUUCAAGUGUUUUGUGAGGUAUACCUUGGAGAGGAACCCAGCCUGCUACUCUUUAGGGAGUAAUUUUAGUUGAACCGCCAGAAUGAGUGCGCCAAUGGGCCUAGCUUGGAGCUUGGCGGAAUCUCCAUUCAACGACGGAGAGAUUGCCUCUUUCCUUAUGCUGAGCCGCCAAGCCACCCAAAGGACUGGAACCAGACAUGGUUCUACUGCCAAGAUACUUCUCCGGCUGAUGAGAACCCUCUGCUCGGCUUUCGUGCCCUGCGUCUGGAGCCAACUCACCCCCUGCCAGACAAACUAUCUCAAGCUGAGCGUCAACCACUGAUCCCCACCAUCAACAAGAUUAAGGCUCUUCUGGGAAAUGGCCUUAACGGCGUUGAUCUGGUCCGGGUCUGGAUUUCUUGGCGGGUGAUUCCCUUGAGCCGCCGCCACGGCUUAAUGUGUGAUUACACGGGCCGGAAGGAUGACCCUCUGCGGCACAGACCCAACGAUCUACCUGAGGACGUCGUGGACGACAUGACCAAGUCCCUCUUGAACGAGAGCUUAGCAGACUGCGGGAGGACCGGCUUAAGCCCCUUCUGCCAAGCUAACCCGGCUCCGUCGGUAAGCUACCAAUCUGAGCACUUUACUUUCCAUUCUAACAGUUUUCGUUUUAACUUCAAGGAAACCUUUGUUGCAUUUUUCCAGGCUAAUGACAAGUUCUGGAAGGUCAAGUAUGACCAUGAGGCUGCUAAAAAAGCCAGGAAGGCUAAGAAAGCCGCCAGGAGAGCCGCUCCCCGCAAGAAGGGAAGUAAGCCUAGCGCCUCAGAGCUGCUUCAGUUGGAUGAUAGCUCCGAGUCAGAGGUAGCUCUUGAUUCUUUAGGCUCUUUUUUUGUUUUUCAUCUGUUUUUAACCACCUUAUUGACACUGAUUAUCAGCAGGAUGAUACCGGAGCGAGUAACCCGGUGAUUGAAGAGGUAACUAUACUUUCCUCCGACUCGGACCCCUCGCCAAGGCUGAAAGUCCGAAGAGUAACCCGGAAAGUAAGAUUUUCGCAUCCUUUAGCUUAUCAAGAUCCUCAAUUUCUUUUGAAGCAACAGAUUCAUGAGAGCCGGAGUCAAACCCGGGCCAGCAAGGAUGCAGACCUCUCCUCCGGCUUACCCGAAGCAUCAAGAAAGCGCCGGACUGAGGUUAUCUCCAACUUAUACCCUUUUCAUCCUUUAGCGGGCGUCACCCGUCAACCACUCAAUUCAUCUGAUUCAAACUAUCAGGAAACUUCACCUUCCUCUGGUGACUCCAUGCAAUCUAACUUGCCGGCUUUCAAGACCGCACCCGGGUAACGAUAAUCAUCUCAUUUUGUGCUUAUCUUACUUAUGUUUUUUGUACUAACCUUUGACUUUCAGUGCCCAAGCCAGGCUCAGCAAGAGGGCCAAGAAAAAUAAACCGGUCGAAGAGCCGGACUUAACUGAACCCAAUGCCUCUGCCUCUGAGCCGCCAUCUGCACUAGCUCCGGAAACCGCAGCCUCAACUGAAGAACAAACCAUGGCGGGUUCUGACAACCCGGAGAUUCCCAGCUCAGCUCAACCAGCCGAUGACCCGGAUGUGGUGAUUACCCGGACUGAAUAUGUUGAGCCGGGAAGACCUACUGUGCUGGCCAGAUGCUCUGCCAAAGAAGAACUACGGGAACGCCGCAGGGCUAGACUGGAGAUCACUGACUAUGCUAACUUGAGCAUUGGAGACAUUGUUUCUGGUUACAUUGGUCAAGUGCACAACAGCCGGGACCUGGAGAUUGAUAUGGUGAAGCAGAUACAGCAAAAAUCUGAGGUAAAACUCUCUUGCUUACUCCAUAGUCAUCCUUACCAUGCUAGCCCCCAAGUCUAUUACUUAUGAUAGAAUAUGUUGUAGACUUGACUUCCGGCUUACCUUCAUGAUCCGGCAAUUGUAAAUAGAAUCUUUCAGCAUACAUUAGCCCCCAAGUGCCAAGUGUCUUUGCUUGCAAAGUGCUUGGGACUUUAAUGUUGCAUAAUAAUCACUCACACUGUAACCCGGAAUUUGUACAGGCUGCCUACAAGAAAUUUGAAUCUGAAAUCUCUGAGCUGAAGAACUGCCUGAAGACUCAGGAAACUGAGACCCGGAAGGCCAACGCCAAAUUUGAGUUCAGUGUUGCUGCACAAGAAAAGCUGAAGAAGAAAUUUGAAACAGAAAGAAAGACUUGGGCCGAGGAGAAAACUGCUUUGCUUAGCCGGGCCGAACAAGCGGAGGCUGCUCUGACUGAGAGAACCGCCGAACUCUCCGGCUUAAAGCGCCAUGUGUCACAGAUGGUCGCCGCAAUCUUCGGUAAGUCAUUCUGCAAGCUUUUAACAAGCUUACGUUCUUUAUGUCUUAUAAAUCCCACAAUUGCCAUCAGCUCACCUGACCUUGUUAUACAGGUCCCAGAAGCUCCAACCUUAAUCAAAAUGUUCUGACCAAGCUGAAGGCUGUUUACACCUUGGUGGAGCAACUCUACACCGGGUCACAGCAUGCUUUAGCCGUUGUGGCUCUGUCUAAUGAGGUUCUGACUCACCUGGCGGACAUACUCAGGCGGCUUGUCGUUCUUCCUCAACGCUUCCAAGAGGUGAGACGGGCUUCUGCAAGAGCCGGAGCUAUAGCUGCUCUGAGCCGGGCCAAGGCUUUUCUCCCGGAGCUAGACCCGGCCGACAUCGCUCUUGGAUACCCCAGCCUGAAGGAAGACGGCACCCCCUUUGACCAGAAAGACUUUGCUGCCUGUGUGAAGAGCGUGCGCCCGGUGGCUACCCUGAUUGGGAAUGACACCGACCUUACCAAGUACCAGUCGGGCUAUGACGCGGAGAAUCAGAGGAUCCCCACUCCACGCUAUGAAGCAAUCAGCUUGAUCCCUCCGACUCGUAAGCAUACCUUCGCCCCAGAAGUUGACCCGGCCGGGUUAAUUGAUGACGAGGCUCAAUUUGAAGCUUUGAGCGGCAUUGACUGGAAAUCAUCAACCUUCCAGGUCAUGGAAUCAGCCGGAGGAGCGGAGAGGGAUGAGCCGGAAGCUUCGACCCAACAAGCACCUUGAGUUUUGGGCGGCUCAUGGUUACACCUUAAAACAAUGCCUCACCUUUUGGACUCGGGGAGUCUUGUAAUAGAGUAGGACAAACACUUAAUUUUGUCGUGCCAUCGUGCACGUGUUGAAUGCUUAACUCCAUUUAAGCUGCUUCUUCAUAUUCCUCCGGGUUAUAAUUGAUCAAUUUACUCUCCUUAAGCUUUAAGAACUGUCUUUAAUUGUUCUGCAUAGAAAAAUAAAUCACAAGUCUCUAGGCGGCUUACCGCGUGGAGAGUCAUAUAUCUUACACUUAACUCGGAACAUAACCAAGGUUAUAAAAGACCGGCUCUCAACCAUAUCUUCAGGAUAACCACAAUAGCCUACCUACAAACCUUGCAAGUAUAUGUCCGGCUUAUGUAACCCAAAUAAUGAGGUUGAGAAACUUAACUCCGGUUCACCAGCAUUGAUAGCAACAUUGUUAAUCAAAGUUAAGCCGGCGGAACAAGAACCGCCCUUGCCCACUGUUGAUAUGAUCAAAACAACUUGUUGUAAACCAAAAGGUCAAAACUUAAGGGCUUAUGAUUCGAAUACGAGCAGAAAACUGUCCCAAAGGGGUUAAGCUAAGAUUCGAAUGCGAUCGUAUAGCCCCCAGUGGCGUUGGCGUUGCCGAUCAAGAGGGUACCGACAGCUAUGUUCUCUUUGGUUCGAAUACGACCUAUGUGUGAACAGGAAGCCCCCAAAUGACCUUGAGAGUUGUUUAGCGACGCUGAUUCGAAUACGAUCCACGUCGGUUCCCAAAGGGGGUUGAGCUAUGAUUCAAAUAUGAUCAAGAAAAACUCCCCAAUGAGCUCGGCAAUUUGCCAAUCAAAUGGGUAUCGACAGCUAUGUUCUCUUUGGUUUGAAUACGACCUAUGUUUGAACAGGAAGCCCCCAGGUGAUCAUAUUGGUAACGGCCAGAUUCGGAUACGAUCGUAAGCCGGACCCACCUCCAAGUGACCAUGUAAUGUUGUAAUGGAAAUAACACAUUUACCUUUGGAGGAGAAAAGGACAGAGGUCCUGCUUUAUUAUUUAUCAUAAUAUAUACAUGGCUAUAGAAAUAUGUACAUUAUGAGAGCCGGUGGCUCAAGUGUAAUAAGGCCGAAGCUGAGCUAUGUUCCACGGCCGACGGGUCUCUUCCUCCGACUUGCGUGAAUCUUUGUGCUCCCGAACAUCGAUAAGGUAGUAUGACCCGUUGUGCAAGUUCUUGCUGACCACAAAGGGCCCUUCCCAAGCCGGGGAUAACUUGUGUGUAUCUGUCUAAUCUUGGAUGAGCCGGAGCACCAGAUCACCUUCCUGGAAGACCCGGGACUUAACCCGGCGGCUGUGAUAACGGCGCAGGUCUUGUUGGUAAAUCACCGAGCGAGCUGCUGCCACAUCACGCUGUUCGUCCAACAAGUCAAGAGCAUCUUGGCACGCCCGCUCAUUAUCCGCCUCAACAUAAGCCGCCACUCGAGGCGAGUCAUGACGGAUGUCGCUGGGGAGGACUGCUUCCGCUCCAUAAACCAUGAAGAAAGGCGUGUAACUCGUAGAUCUGUUAGGAGUAGUAUUGAUGCUCCAUAACACGGAGGGUAACUCCUCCACCCAACAACCCGGCGUCCGUUGCAAAGGGACCAAAAGCCGGGGCUUGAUGCCCUUCAAAAUCUCCUGAUUAGCUCUCUCAGCUUGACCAUUGGAUUGAGGGUGAGCCACUGAUGAAACAUCAAGUCGAAUAUGCUCUCGUUGACAAAACUCCUCCAUGGCGCCCUUAGACAGAUUGGUACCAUUGUCAGUUAUAAUGCUGUGUGAAAAACCAAAGCGAAAUAUCACCCUUUUCAUGAACUGAACCGCUGUGGCUGCAUCACACUUGCUAACUGGCUCUGCCUCAACCCACUUUGUGAACUUGUCAACUGCCACCAAGAGGUGGGUCUUCUUAUCCUUGGACCUUUUAAAAGGCCCAACCAUAUCAAGCCCCGAGACCGCAAAUGGCCAAGUAAUUGGAAUCAUCCUCAGCUCCUGAGCCGGCACAUGAGCCCGUCGUGAGAACCUCUGACAACCGUCACAUUUACUGACCAAGUCCUCCGCAUCAGCAUGAGCCGUCAGCCAAUAAAAACCAUGACGAAAAGCCUUGGCCACAAGGGAUUUUGAGCCGGCAUGAUGGCCACAAUCCCCCUCAUGAAUCUCACGUAAAAUUUCUUGACCUUCCUCAGGGGAAACACAACGCUGGAAAGUUCCAGUGACACUGCGAUGAUGCAGCUCACCAUUGAUAAUUAUCAUUGACUUAGACCGCCGGAUUAUUUGUCUGGCCAAAGUUUCAUCCUCAGGCAAUUCUCCCCGGGUCAUGUAAGCCAAGUAUGGUACUGUCCAGUCUGGGGUAAUGUGGAGAGCUGCCACCAACUGUGCCUCCGGGUCAGGGACAGCCAAGUCUUCCUCUGUAGGCAACUUAACAGAAGGGUUACGCAAAAUGUCCAAGAAAGUAUUAGGCGGCACCGGCUUUCGCUGAGAGCCCAGCCGGCUUAAAGCAUCAGCCGCCUCGUUCUUCCUGCGAUCAAUAUGCUCUACUUGGUAACCCUGAAAGUGUCCAGCAAUGGCAUCAACUUCGCAGCGAUAAGCCGCCAUGAGAGGGUCCUUGGAAUCCCAGUUGCCCGACACUUGCUGAGCCACUAAAUCUGAGUCGCCAAAGCACCUUACCCGGCUCAAGCUCAUCUCCUGAGCCAUCCGAAGACCAUGGAGCAAGGCCUCGUACUCAGCCGCAUUGUUAGUACAGGGAAACAUCAACUGUAGCACAUAACGAAACUUGUCACCUCUAGGGGAAGUUAAUACAACUCCAGCCCCCGAGCCCUCCAAUUUCCUAGACCCGUCGAAGUGAAUAGUCCAAUAUGUAUUAUCCGGCUUCUCUUCAGGCACCUGCAGCUCUGUCCAAUCGUUGAUGAAAUCCACUAAUGCUUGAGAUUUGACAGCAGUGCGUGGCACGUAUUUCAGUCCAUGAGGCCCAAGCUCUAUAGCCCACUUAGCCACUCUUCCUGUGGCUUCUCUGUUUUGGAUGAUAUCUCCUAAGGGAGCAGAACUAACCACAGUGAUGGGGUGACCCUGGAAAUAAUGCUUAAGCUUCCGGCUUGCCAUGAACACACCAUAAACAAGCUUCUGCCAAUGUGGAUACCGCUGCUUGGACUCAAUGAGCACUUCACUGACGUAGUAAACCGGCCGCUGAACCGGAUACUCCUUACCAUCUUCCUUGCGCUCCACCACCACAGCCACACUGACGGCUCGUGUGUUAGCAGCUACAUACAGUAAUAAGGGCUCCUUGCCAACCGGAGCAGCAAGAACUGGGGGCUCAGCCAGCUGUCUCUUCAAAUCCUCAAAAGCAGCAUUAGCAGCAUCAUUCCAGACAAAGUCAUUUGUUUUCUUCAUCAACUAGUACAGUGGCAUGGCCUUUUCACCCAAACGGCUUAUAAACCGGCUCAGAGCAGCGAUGCGGCCUGCCAGACGCUGGACGUCAUUGAUGCACGCCGGCUUAGCCAGAGAGGUGAUUGCCUUGAUCUUUUCCGGGUUAGCUUCAAUGCCUCUGUUAGAAACCAGGAAACCCAAGAGCUUGCCUGCGGGAACACCAAAAACACACUUGGCCGGGUUAAGCAUCAUCUUGUAAACCCGGAGAUUAUCAAAGGUUUCUCUAAGAUCAUCUAUCAGGGUCUCCUUCUCCCUGGACUUAACCACGAUAUCAUCCACAUAGGCAUGAACAUUGCGCCCAAUCUGGUUAUGAAGACAAUUCUGCACACAACGCUGAUAAGUCGCCUGUGCACUCUUGAGUCCAAAAGGCAUAGAUACAUAACAGAAGGCUCCAAAGGGAGUGAUGAACGUCGUCUUCUCCUGGUCCUUAACUGCCAUUUUAAUCUGAUGGUACCCAGAAUAAGCAUCCAAAAAACUUAAGCGCUCACAACCCGCCGUAGCAUCAAUGAUUUGAUCAAUACGGGGGAGAGCAAAAGGAUCAGCCGGACAAGCCUUGUUUAAGUCCGUGUAGUCUACACACAUCCGCCAGGUGCCGUUCUUCUUGAGCACGAGUACCGGGUUAGCUAACCAUUCUGGAUGAAAGACUUCAACAAUAAACCCGGCCGCCAAGAGCCGGGCUACCUCCUCACCAAUGGCUUUCCGCCUCUCCUCAUUAAACCGCCAAAGGAAUUGCCUGACCGGCUUAAAUUUCGGAUCAACAUUGAGAGUGUGCUCAGCGAGUUCUCUAGGUACACCUGGCAUGUCAGAAGGUUUCCAUGCAAAAAUGUCCCUGUUCUCACGGAUGAACUCGAUGAGCGCGCUUUCCUAUUUCGGAUCCAGAUUGGCACUGAUGCUAAACUGCUGAGAUGAGUCACCUGGAACGAAGUCAACAAGCUUAGUCUCAUCGGCUGACUUAAAUUUCAUUGCCGGCUCAUGCUCCGUGGCCGGCUUUUUCAAAGACGUCAUAUCUGCCGGGUCAACAUUGUCCUUGUAAAACUUCAACUCCUCCGUUGCACAAACAGAUUCUGCAUAAGCCGCGUCACCUUCCUCACACUCCAAGGCUAUCUUUCGGCUGCCAUGAACCGUAAUGGUCCCGUUGUGACCCGGCAUCUUGAGCUGCAAAUACACGUAACACGGCCGUGCCAUGAACUUGGUUUAAGCCGGCCGCCCAAAUAUAGCAUGAUACGAACUUCUUAUCUUAACCACCUCAAAGGUUAAUUUUUCCGCCCUGUAAUUGUACUCAUCUCCAAAAGCCACUUCCAGCUCAAUCUUACCAACUAGAUAUGCCGACUUACCAGGCACCACACCAUGGAAGACAGUAUUGGACUGGCUGAGGUUCUUAUCAAUCAACCCCAUACGACAGAAGGUCUCGUAAUAGAGGAUGUUGAUGCUGCUGCCUCCGUCCAUGAGCACUUUAGUGAACUUAUAUCCCCCCACCUAAGGAGCCACCACCAGGGCCAGGUGACCCGGAUUAUCAACCCGGGGAGGGUGAUCUUCCCUACUCCAUAUAAUAGGCUGCUCAGACCAUCUUAAAUAGCGUGGAACCGCCGGCUCAACAGCAUUCACAGCCCUUUUGUGAAGCUUCUGAUCUCGCUUGCACAGACUGGUGGUAAACACAUGAUACUGUCCACCAUUGAGCUGCUUUGGAUUGGUCUGGUAUCCCCCUUGCUGCUGCUGCUGAUGACCCUGGCCGGACUGCUGAUUAAAGCCCCCUUGAACAUUCUGAGAAUUGGAAUUUGAGCCGCUGCCCGGGCCAUGAAAGCCGCCGGCGCCUGAGCCGCCACCCGGGCCAUUAUUGCCAUUGAAAGUAUUGGAAUUUUUGAAGGCCUUCAUGAUUGCGCAGUCCUUCCACAGAUGAGUGGCCGGCUUUUCCCUAGAGCCAUGCCUUGGACAAGGCUCAUUCAACAACUGCUCAAGCGUCGGGCCUGACCCGCCGGCGCGGGGAGGUGGCCUCCCCUUGCGCCGGUGGUUGUUACCCUGUGAACUGGUGUUGGCCACAAACUCCAUACUGCCAUCAGCCUUACGCUUCUUACCCCCCUGGUUCGCCGGGUUAUGCUGGGGGCCCUUGCCAUUGCCAUUCCGUUUUCCCUUCCCUGUCCUUUCAUCAUCCGACGCGGGAUCCUUGGUACUAUCAGAGUCGGCGUACUUAACCAGAGCCGCCAUCAGCGUACCCAUAUCGUUGCAAUCGCGCUUGAGCCGCCCGAGCUUCAUCUUCAGGGGGGCAAAGCGACAGUUCUGCUCUAACAUUAAGACUGCAGAGCCGGCAUCCAUCUUAUCAGAUGAAUGUAUUAUCUCUUUCACCCGGCGAACCCAAUGGGUUGUAGACUCACCCUCCUACUGCUUACAGUUAGUCAAAUCCACAAUUGACAUAGACUGCCUACAGGUAUCUUUGAAGUUUUGGAUGAACCGUGCUUUCAGUUCAGCCCAGGACCCAAUAGAGUUUGGUGGCAGCCCCUUCAACCAAGUGCGGGCAGUUCCAUCUAACAUCAUGGUGAAGUACUUGGCCAUUCCUGCUUCACUAACCUCCAGCAACUCCAUGGCCAUCUCGUAACUCUCGAUCCAGGCUCCGGGUUGUAAAUCAGCCGUGUAAUUAGGCACCUUCCUAGGCCCUUUGAAAUCCUUGGGCAGACGUUCAUUGCGGAGAGCCGGCACCAGACAAGGGACACCUCCAGUCCUCGUAGGUAUACCCGCAUCAAUAGAAGCUGUCGGAUAAGCCGGGGGUGGCUGGUAAGCCGUCAACUGAGGCGCCUGCUCCGCCUCUUGCCAUGCCCUGUCUUGAUCUACCACAUGAAAGGCUCCGUUAUGAGCCGUCGGAUAAGCCGGGCCGUGGCCAGGAGGCAAGUCAUUGCGUCGGACGUUGCUUGAGCCGGUCGCUGAGACCGUGUGUCUGCUAUAACUCGGGCUCCGGCCUGGACGAGGGGUUGAAUGAAUCAUGUCCCGGCUAUAAGAAUAUGCCUCCUGCUGCGCCAGAGCCGUCUGAAGGAGUUCUCUGACCCGGCGGGUUUCAACCGCCGUUGGAGAGUCGCCAUCGAUUGGGAGAGCCGCCAGUCGCGCCGCCGCGGCGACCAUGUUUUCCAAUGGGUUGGCAUAAUGACCCGGUGGUAUUGGCACAUACUGAGGCGGGGCAGCGUUCACCUGGGGAGGCCCCAUCACUUGGGGCUGAAUUGACGUUCCAACCCCGGGCGUCAUGACCUCUGGCGGGUUACUGGGCCCUGCACCAGGUGUGUUGAAGAGGUUUCGAGGAUCGUAAACCGGAGGGAGUCGAGAUUGGGCCUUUUGAUGCCUCCUUCUCAUGACCUCAUUGGACGCGUUCUGAUCCAUCGUGAGCCGGAAAGAUUGUGCCUGAAUCAGCUGAGUCUGGGCGUCGAGAGCCGCCCUCUCCGCAGCCAUCCUGAUCCCUUCCGCCGCUAGAUCCUCCUUGGCUUUUGCUAGAUCCAUCUUUAACUGUGCCACCUCCGUGUCAUGCUGAGCUUGAUCCGCUGGGGCGACCGUAGCGGUUAACAGGGCCGUCAUCUUGUCUGUGAGAUCCAUCAGCACCUGAGCCGGCGAGGGCACAGGGCUUCCUGCCCCGGCAGUGGGGUUUUGAAUAGGUUGUGCGCCAGCCAUGAAGAUUCCAACCCGGCUCGGCGGCUCAAAGAGGUCCGGAAUACUGUCGCCAUCGGAACAACCCCUGAGCCUGCCAUCUUGAAGUUGGUAUAACGAAUCGGUUUCCUCUGUGGAUGACUCGCCGUCAGAGCGAGCGGUCGUCUCAUCACCAGAUCCAGAUCCUUCAGAGAGCUCUCCAUGGACGCAUCCCACGAAAGCACGCUUCAAGGCAGGCAAAGUCCGGGCGGGUCGUGCACGUUGAGCCGUCUCGAUGAGAUCGGCGCCAAGGUACGGCUCUGGGCCCGGCUCACCAAUCUUGCCAAUAAAGACAUGAAUUCCGCCGAAGGGGACCCGGUACCCGUACUCAAUUGAGCCGGCGUCGGGGCCCCAAUUCGCAUCGUCGAUGUAGAGCUUGCCGCGACGACUCUUGGUCAUCCGGCCCACAGUGUAUCCCUUGAGCCCUUCGAAGCUGCCCUUCAAGAACUCAAAUCCACCGUGCGCCAGCCCCACGGUGGGCGCCAACUGUCGUGGAAUUGUCACGGCAGAUGUCCUCGUGUUAGGACUUAGUCGUGGAGCCAUCACCACUAGGAAGCUUAAAGGGGUUAAACGGGACAAGGAACACAAGGGUUAUACUAGUUCGGCCCCUUACGGUGAAGGUAAAAGCCUACUUCCAGUUGAGGUGGUAUUGCUUAGGGUUUCGAUGACCAGGGAGCUUAAUCACUAUGCCCGGUUCUCGGUCUGUUCUCUCUUGUUCUGAACCGCCGCCGGGUCGUCCCUUUAUAUAGAGAGGUUGACGCCCGCGGCUCUCAGAGUCCCGGCCGGCUUAUAACAGUGUCCGGCUCAGACUCUUAACUACUCUUGCCUUACAUUACAAGUCUUGCCAUAACGGCGGGUUAUCACUACGGGCCUUAAGCCGCCUCCGGGUCUUAGCCCAUUACUGAUCCGCCAUCUUCAAGCUUGGUGUUGGGCUUCACGUGAUGAUCAUUAUGACGUAACCCGGCCUCUCCUGGGCGGGUGACUCUAAUGGUUAUAUCCUCAACACCUGCAGAGUAUUAUCUUUCGAAAGCCGUGCCCGCGGUUAUGAGGCAGAUGGGAAUUUGUUAAUGUCCGGUUGUAGAGAACUUGUCACUUUACUUAAUUAAAAUACAUCAACCGUGUGUGUAGCCGUGAUGGUCUCUUCUCGGCGGAGUCCGGGAAGUGAACAAGGUUUGAGUUAUGCAUGAACGUAAGUAGUUUCAGGAUCACUUCUUGAUCACUUCUAGUUUCGCGACCAUUGCGUUGCUUCUCUUCUCGCUCUCAUUUGCGUAUGUUAGCCACCAUAUAUGCUUAGUGCCUGCUGCAGCUCCACCUCAUUACACCAUCCUUUCCUAUAAGCUUAAAUAGUCUUGAUCUCACGGGUGUGAGAUUGCUGAGUCCUCGUGACUCACAGAUUCUACCAAAACAGUUGCAGGUGUCGACGAUGCCAGUGCAGAUGAUGCAACCGAGCUCAAGUGGGAGUUCGACGAGGAACGUGGUCAUUACUAUGUUUCUUUUCCUGAUGAUCAGUAGUGGAGCCCAGUUGGGACGAUCGGGGAUCUAGCAUUUGGGGUUAUCUUAUUUUCAUUUGAAUUUGACCGUAGUCGGUCUAUGUGUGGAUUUUGGAUGAUGUAUGAAUUAUAUUUAUGUAUUGCGUGAAGUGGCGAUUGUAAGCCAACUCUUGUUAUCCCAUUCUUAUUCAGUACAUGGGAUUGUGUGAAGAUAACCCUUCUUGCGACAAUACCACAAUGCGGUUAUGCCUCUAAGUCGUGCCUCGACACGUGGGAGAUAUAGCCGCAUCGUGGGCGUUACAGCGAACUUGACCGAGAGCCACCUUCUCUCGAACAAAAUGAAUGUCGAUCUCAAUAUGCUUGGUGCGACGGUGUUGAACCGGAUUCCCUGACAUGUAGACAGCUGAAAUAUUAUCACAGUAAACAAUGGUAGCUUGCUCAAUAGGACGGUGCAGCUCUGACAGCAACUAGCACAACCAAACCGUUUCAGCAACCGCAUGAGCCACAGCGCGGUACUCAGCUUCAGCAGACGAGCGGGAGACCGUAACCUGCCUUUUUGAAGAACAAGAAACCAAAUUGUUACCAAGAAAAACACAAAAUCCGGAUGUGGACCUUAGAGUAUCUGGACAACCAGCCCAGUCUGCAUCAGAGUAAGCUGUCAAGGAGGUGGGAGAGGAUUUCUUGAUAUGAAGACCUAAGUCUAGUGUGCCUUUGAGAUAUCAAAGAAUACGUUUGACAUGAUUGUAGUGUGGAAUACGAGGAUCGUGCAUGUAUAAGCAAGCUUGUUGGAUAGCAAAAGAAAUUUCAGGACGAGUGAGAGUAAGAUACUGAAGUGCACCGGUAAGACUACAAUAAAUAGAAGGGUCAGAGAAAGGAUCACCGUCGGCAGAGAGUGAUGUCUACUACGCAACCUUCUUCUUGUAGACGUUGUUGGGCCUCCAAGUGCAGAGGUUUGUAGGACAGUAGCAAUUUUCCCUCAAGUGGAUGACCUAAGUUUUAUCAAUCCGUGGGAGGCGUAGGAUGAAGAUGGUCUCUCUCAAACAACCCUGCAACCAAAUAACAAAGAGUCUCUUGUGUCCCCAACACACCCAAUACAAUGGUAAAUUGUAUAGGUGCACUAGUUCGGCGAAAAGAUGGUGAUACAAGUGCAAUAUGGAUGGUAGAUAUAGGUAUUUAUAAUCUAAAAAUAUAAAAACAGCAAGGUAACAAGUGGUAAAAGUGAGCGUAAACGGUAUUGCAAUGCUAGGAAACAAGGCCUAGGGUUCAUACUUUCACUAGUGCAAGUUCUCUCAACAAUAAUAACAUAAUUGGAUCAUAUAACUAUCCCUCAACAUGCAACAAAGAGUCACUCCAAAGACACUAAUAGAGGAGAACAAACAAAGAGAUUAUGGUAGGGUACCAAACCACCUCAAAGUUACUCUUUCGGAUCGAUCUAUUCAAGAGUCCGUAAUAAAAUAACACGAAGCUAUUCUUUCCGUUCGAUCUAUCAUAGAGUUCGUACUAGAAUAACACCUUCAGAUACAAAUCAACCAAAACCCUAAUGUCACCUAGAUACUCCAAUGUCACCUCAAGUAUCCGUGGGUAUGAUUAUACGAUAUGCAUCACACAAUCUCAGAUUCAUCUAUUCAACCAACACAAAGUACUUCAAAGAGUGCCCCAAAGUUUCCACCAGAGAGUCAAGACGAAAACGUGUGCCAACCCCUAUGCAUAGUUUCAUGGGCGGAACCCGCAAGUUGAUCACCAAAACAUACAUCAAGUGGAUCAAUAGAAUACCCCAUUGUCACCACGGGUAUCCCACGCAAGACAUACAUCAAGUGUUCUCAAAUCCUUAAAAACUCAAUCUGAUAAGAUAACUUCAAAGGGAAAACUCAAUCCAUUACAAGAGAGUAGAGGGGGAGAAACAUUAUAAGAUCCAAAUAUAAUAGCAAAGCUCGCGAUACAUCAAGAUCGUGCCAUAUCAAGAACACGAGAGAGAGAGAGAGAAAGAGAGAGAGAGAUCAAACACAUAGCUACUGGUACAUACCCUCAGCCCCGAGGGUGAACUACUCCCUCCUCGUCAUGGAGAUCGUCGGGAUGAUGAAGAUGGCCACCGGUGAGGGGUCCCCCCUCCGGCAGGGUGCCGGAACAGGGUCUCGAUUGGCUUUUGGUGGCUACAGAGGCUUGCGGCGGCGGAACUCCCGAUCUCUUCUGUUCCCCGAUGGUUUUAGGGUAUAUGGAGAUAUAUAGGCGAAAGAAGUCGGUAAGGGGAGCCACGCGGGGGCCACAAGGGUGGAGGGCGCGCCCAGGGGGUGGGCGCGCCCCCUGCCUCGUGCCUUCCUCGUUGCUUCCCUUACGUACACUCCAAGUCUUCUGGAUUGCUUCCGUUCCAAAAAUAACUCUCCCGAAGGUUUCAUUCCGUUUGGACUCUGUUUGAUAUUCCUUUUCUGCGAAACACUAAAACAAGGAGAAAAACAGAAACUGGCACUGGGCUCUGGGUUAAUAGGUUAGUCCCAAAAAUAAUAUAAAAGUGUUUAAUAAAGCCCAUAAACAUCCAAAACAGAUAAUAUAAUAGCAUGGAACAAUCAAAAAUUAUAGAUACGUUGGAGACGUAUCAGCAUCCCCAAGCUUAAUUCCUGCUCGUCCUCGAGUAGGUAAAUGAUAAAAACAAAAAAAUUUAUGUGGAAUGCUACCUAACAUAUUUAUCCAUGUAAUUCUAUUUAUUGUGGCAAGAAUAUUCAGAUCCAUAAGAUUCAAGACAAAAGUUUAAUAUUGACAUAAAAAUAAUAAUACUUCAAUCAUACUAACAAAGUAAUCAUGUCUUCUCAAAAUAACAUGGCCAAAGAAAGCUAUCCCUACAAAAUCAUAUAGUCUGGCUAUGCUCUAUCUUCAUCACACAAAAUAUUUAAAUCAUGCACAACCCCGAUGACAAGUCACGCAAUUGUUUCAUACUUUUGAUGUUCUCAAACAUUUUCAAUCUUUACGCAAUACAUGAGCGUGAGCCAUGGACAUAGCACUAUAGGUGGAAUAGAAUGGUGGUUGUGGAGAAGACAAAAAGGAGAAGAUAGUCUCACAUCAACUAGGCGUAUCAACGGGCUAUGGAGAUGCCCAUCAAUAGAUAUCAAUGUGAGUGAGUAGGGAUUGCCAUGCAACGGAUGCACUAGAGCUAUAAGUGUAUGAAAGCUCAACAAAAGAAACUAAGUGGGUGUGCAUCCAACUCGCUUGCUCACGAAGACCUAGGGCAUUUUGAGGAAGCCCAUCAUUGGAAUAUGCAAGCCAAGUUCUAUAAUGAAAGAUUCCCACUAGUAUAUGAAAGUGACAACAUAGGAGACUCUCUAUCAUGAAGAUCAUGGUGCUACUUUGAAGCACAAGUGUGUUAAAAGGAUAGUAGCAUUGCCCCUUCUCUCUUUUUCUCUCAUUUUUUUGUUUUUUUAUUUAGGCCUUUUCUCUUUUUUUAUGGCCUCUUUUUUUCUUUUUUUCUCCUGUUUUUAGUCCGGAGUCUCAUCCCGACUUGUGGGGGAAUCAUAGUCUCCAUCAUCCUUUCCUCACUGGGACAAUGCUCUAAUAAUGAUGAUCAUCACACUUUUAUUUACUUACAACUCAAGAAUUACAACUCAAUACUAGAACAAUAUAUGACUCUAUAUGAAUGCCUCCGGCGGUGUACCGGGAUGUGCAAUGACUCAUGAGUGACAUGUAUGAAAGAAUUAUGAACGGUGGCUUUGCCACAAAUACGAUGUCAACAACAUGAUCAUGCAAAGCAAUAUGACAAUGAUGGAGCGUGUCAUAGUAAACGGAACGGUGGUAAGUUGCAUGGCAAUAUAUCUCGGAAAGGUUAUGGAAAUUCCAUGAUAGGUAGGUAUGGUGGCUGUUUUGAGGAAGGUAUAUGGUGGGUGUAUGAUACCGGCGAAAGGUGUGCGGUAUUAGAGAGGCUAGCAAUGGUGGAAGGAUGAGAGUGCGUAUAAUGCAUGGACUCAACAUUAGUAAUAAAGAACUCACAUACUUAUUGCAAAAAUCCAUUAGUUAUCAAAACAAAGUAUUACGCGCAUGCUCCUAGGGGGAUAGAUUGGUAGGAAAAAACCAUCACUCGUCCCCGACCGCCACUCAUAAGGAAGACAAUCAAUAAAUAAAUCAUGCUCCGACUUCAUCACAUAACGGUUCACCAUACGUGCAUGCUACGGGAAUCACAAACUUUAACACAAGUAUUUCUCAAAUUCAUAACCACUCAACUAGCAUGACUCUAAUAUCACCAUAUUCAUAUCUCAAAACAAUCAUAAAGAAUCAAACUUCUCAUAGUAUUCAAUGCACUUUAUAUGAAAGUUUUUAUUAUAUCCCUCUUGGAUGCCCAUCAUAUUAGGACUAAAUUAAUAACCAAAGCAAAUUACCAUGCUGUUUAAGACUCUCAAAAUAAUAUAAGUGAAGUAUGAGAGUUCAUCUAUUUCUUCAAAAUAAAACCACCUCCGUGCUCUAAAAGGAUAUAAGUGAAGCACUAGAGCAAAUGACAAACUACUCCGAAGGAUAUAAGUGAAGAUCAAUGAGUAGUUAAAUAAUUAUUUAGCUAUGUGAAGAAUCUCCCAUUUAAUAAUUUCAGAUCUUGAUACUUUAUUCAAACAGCAAGCAAAACUAAAUAAAAUAAAAUGACACUCCAAGCAAAACACAUAUCAUGUGGUGAAUAAAAAUAUAGCUCCAAGUAAAGUUACCGAUGAACGAAGACGAAAGAGGGGAUGCCUUCCGGGGCAUCCCCAAGCUUAGACUCUUGGUUGUCCUUGAAAAUUACCUUGGGGUGCCUUGGGCAUCCCCAAGCUUAGGCUCUUGCCACUCCUUAUUCCAUAGUCCAUCGAAUCUUUACCCAAAACUUGAAAACUUCACAACACAAAACUCAACAGAAAACUCGUAAGCUCCGUUAGCGAAAGAAAACAAAACACUACUUCAAGGUACUGUAAUGAACUCAUUCUUUAUUUGAAUUGGUGUUAAAUCUACUGUAUUCCAACUUCUCUAUGGUUUAUAAACUAUUUUACUAACCAUAGAUUCAUCAAAAUAAGCAAACAACACACGAAAAACAGAAUCUGUCAAAAACAGAACAGUCUGUAGUAAUCUGUAACUAACGCAAACUUCUGGAACUCAAAAUAUUCUACCAAAAUAGGAAGACCUAGAUAAUUUGAUUAUUGAUAUUCUGCAAUUGGAAUCAGUAUUUUAUCACGUUCUGGUGAUUUUAAACAAUUGUUUUCGUGAACAGGAAGUUUCUGGAAUUUUCAGCAAGAUCAAAUAACUAUCAUCCAAGAAGAUCCUAUAGGUCUUACUUGGCCCAAACACUAAUUAAAACAUAAAACUACAUCUAAACAGAGGCUAGAUCAAAUAUUUAUUACUAAACAGAACCAAAAAGCAAGAAACUAAAAUAAAAUUGGGUUGCCUCCCAACAAGCGCUAUCGUUUAACGCCCCUAGCUAGGCAUGAUGAUUUCAAUGAUGCUCACAUAAAAGAUAAGAAUUGAAACAUAAUGGGAGCAUCAUGAACACUAGUAGAAAAAGAGGCUUCCAUACGCCCCCAUUAGUCCCCAAAAUAAUCGAACCGCGACUAAAGGGGUCUUUAGUCGCGGUUCGGGAGGAGGCCCGCGACCAACUAUCUGGGCCCAGCGCGCGCUGGCGGACGGGAGGGGCUUUAGUCCCGGUUGGCCUGGCCAACCGGGACUAAAGGUCCUCAGGCUGGCCCGAAGGCCUUUAGUCGUGGUUGGCCAGGUCAACCGGGACUAAAGGUUAGACCUUUAGUCCCGGUUGGUCUGGCCAACCGCGACUAAUGGCCCGAACCUUUAGUCGCGGUUGGCCAGACCAACCGGGACUAAAGGAGGCCUCAUUUUCAAACUCUACCCCCCCCCCUCGUGGAUCGCCUUUUCAGUUUUAGAAAAAACAAAAGAAAAUGAUGGAAAUGUCAAAAAAAUAAAAUAAAAUAAGUUUUCCAUGUGAUAUGUGGUCUAGUUGUUGGGAAAAUUAACAAAUAUGAAUUUCGACUUUAUUUGCAAAAUCUCUCUGGAAAUUCUUAAAAUGGGCAUAACUUUUGCAUACGAACUCGGAUGAAAAAGUUUUUUAUAUGAAAAAUCAUCUACUGGAAAAGUUACAUCCGAAUUUAAUAAGGGGAACCUUGUUAAACAUUUUUAGAAUCCUCAAAAACCUAACAGAAAAAAAGAUACGGGGCUUUUAAGAUCUGGAGAGGCUAAAAAAUUCAAAAAAUUUCAAAUUGUGGUCAAACUGUGGUCAAACAAUGGUCAAAAUAAUUAUUCUAGAAUAUUAGUGUUACUAAAUAAUUAUUUCAUUUUUUAAAAUUUUGGUCAAAUCUGGUCAAACUGUGGUCAAACUGUGGUCAAACAAUGGUCAAACUAAUUAUUCCAGAAAUAUUAGUGUUACUAAAUAAUUAUUGUUUUUUAAAACAAUAGUUUCAAACUCAAACAGUGAAAUGUGUCACUUCAUGCUCAAGCUAAAUUCCUGAGGGUUAAUAGAAUUGACAUCCUACUAUUGUUAGGAAAACAACAAGUGCAUACUUGGAAACGAGGGAGAAUAGAACCCGAAAGUUAAGCGUGCUCAGGCUGGAGUAGUGAGAGGAUGGGUGACCGUCCGGGAAGUUAGAUGAAUUGGAAUGAUGAGGGGUGAUUAGAGAUUAGAGGAUAAAUUGAGCAGUGAUGAGGGGUGGUGAUUAGAGAUUAGAGGUUAAAAUAAAUCAGAAAUUUGAAAAUAAAAAAAAUAAAAAAAAUUCGCAAAAAAACCAGGUUUAAACCUACGGAGGAGGCCUUUAGUCCCGGUCAGCCACGAGAACCGGGACUAAAGGACGGGCCUUUAGUCCCGGUCAGCCACAAGAACCGGGACUAAAGCCUUUAGUCGCGGUUCGUAAGAGGCGCGACUAAAGGGGGGGGGGUCUUUAGUCGCGCAUAUUUAGUCCCGGUUGCACAGCCGGGACUAAAGGCCUUUGCGAACCGGGACUAAAGGCCUUUUUUCUACCAGUGGAAGCAUAUGACUAGCACAUUUAAGUCUAACUCACUUCCUAUUCAUAGGGAUUUUGUGAGCAAACAACUUAUGGGAACAAUAAUCAACUAGCAUAGGGAGGCAAAACAAGCAUAACUUCAAAACUUUAAGCAAAUAGAGAGGAAACUUGAUAUUAUUGCAAUUCCUACAAGCAUAUGUUCCUCCCUCAUAAUAAUUUUCAGUAGCAUCAUGAAUGAAUUCAACAAUAUAACCAGCACCUAGAGCAUUCUUUUCAUGAUCUACAAGCAUAGAAAUUUUAUUACUCUCCACAUAAGCAAAAUUCUUCUCAUUCGGAAUAGUGGAAGUAUCAUAAGAGACUUGAAUACUAUAAACUGUUUCCACAUUAAAAGAGUAAUGUUCAGAAAAAUGGUAAUCAUAAUCAUGACAAGUUUUAUAAAUAUAAUCAUCACUACUUUUUAUAGCAUAAGUUUCAUCACAAUAAUCAUCAUAAGUAGCGACUUUGUUCUCAUCAUAAUCGAUUGAAACCUCUUCCAAGAUAGUGGAUUCAUCACUAAAUAAAGUCAUGACCUCUCCAAAUCCACUUUCAUAAUUAUCAAAAUAAGAUUCAACAUCCUCCAAAAUAGUGGGAUCAUUACUUCCUAAAGUUGACACUCUUCCAAACCCACUUUCAUCAAUAUAAUCAUCAUAAGUAGGAGGCAUGCUAUCAUAACAAAUUUGCAUAUCAAAACUUGGGAGGCUAAAAACAUCAUCUUCCUUAAACAUAGCCUCCCCAAGCUUGGGACAAACAUUAAUUUCAGAAAAUAUAUUCUCAAACUUGGCAUUCUCAUCAAACAUAGCAUCCCCAAGCUUGGGCCUUUUCAUAUCAUAAGCAUAAUCACUCUCAUCAUUAAUAGUAUGGAUAGCACCAAUAGUAUAGCAAUUAUCAUCAUCACAUUGAGUAGUAGGAGUAACAUCAUUUGGGAGGGAUACCUUUUUACCUUUGCUUCUUCGUUUUUUCUUUUUCUUCUUCAUCAUGUGCGGGUUUAUCCCUCUUUUUUGAGCUCCUUAUUGAUGAGAUUGGUUGAAUAGAAAGCUCCUCCUCGUUACCUGAUUCGUCAUAAGAAAUAAUAGGAGGAUAUCGGGAAGUCUCUUCCCUUUCAUUAGUGUUCUCUUCAUCUUAUAUUUGCUUUCUUUUCUUUAUGUAAUUGGCAAUAUAAGGAUUUUCAAUGCAAUUCACUGCACAAUACAUAUAAAUUUCCUCUAGAUCAAAAUCAAGAAGUUUAUCACGGGCAAAUACUGGAAGAUAGUUAGUUAUACGUUUCAUUUCUUCAUAACCCAUAAGCAAACUAAGUUCAUUAUGAUGUGCAAGGGAAAUCAAGUCAUCACAAUUUUUGGAAACGAUUAGAUCAUGAAACAAUUUCAUCAGAUAGUUAAAUGACCACGUUCAUUGCAAAGUUCACAAGUACGGCUAAGAAAAUUUAAAUUUUCAGCACAAACAUCUAGCCUUUCUUGCAACCAUUUAGUUUCUAAGUGCUUAUGCCUCUUGCAAAAUCUAUCUUCCCUUUUUGGUAUGUAUUUGCAAACGCUAUGCACUCCACAAAAAUCGACAUGCUUAUAAGAGACAUUUUCAUCAUGACUAGUGCAAUCAUCAUUAGUACUAUGGAUAUUCAAAGAGUUCAUACUAACAACAUUGCAAUCAUGCUCAUCAUUCAAAGAUUUAGUGCCAAACAUUUUAAUGCAUUCUUCUUCUAACACUUUGGCACAAUUUUCCUUUCCAUCAUACUCACGAAAGAUAUUAAAAAGAUGAAGCAUAUGAGACAAACUCAAUUCCAUUUUUUUGUAGUUUUGUUUUAUAAACUAAACUAGUGAUAAAACAGGAAACAAAAAGAUUCGAUUGCAAGAUCUAAAGAUGUACCUUCAAGCACUCACCUCCCCGGCGACGACGCCAGAAAAGAGCUUGAUGUCUACUACGCAACCUUCUUCUUGUAGACGUUGUUGGGCCUCCAAGUGCAGAGGUUUGUAGGACAGUAGCAAAUUUCCCUCAAGUGGAUGACCUAAGGUUUAUCAAUCCGUGGGAGGCGUAGGAUGAAGAUGGUCUCUCUCAAACAACCCUGCAACCAAAUAACAAAGAGUCUCUUGUGUCCCCAACACACCCAAUACAAUGGUAAAUUAUAUAGGUGCACUAGUUCGGCGAAGAGAUGGUGAUACAAGUGCAAUAUGGAUGGUAGAUAUAGGUAUUUAUAAUCUAAAAAUAUAAAAACAGCAAGGUAACAAGUGGUAAAAGUGAGCGUAAACGGUAUUGCAAUGCUAGGAAACAAGGCCUAGGGUUCAUACUUUCACUAGUGCAAGUUCUCUCAACAAUAAUAACAUAAUUGGAUCAUAUAACUAUCCCUCAACAUGCAACAAAGAGUCACUCCAAAGACACUAAUAGAGGAGAACAAACGAAGAGAUUAUGGUAGGGUACGAAAUCACCUCAAAGUUACUCUUUCGGACCGAUCUAUUCAAGAGUCUGUAGUAAAAUAACACGAAGCUAUUCUUUCCGUUCGAUCUAUCAUAGAGUUCGUACUAGAAUAACACCUUAAGAUACAAAUCAACCAAAACCCUAAUGUCACCUAGAUACUCCAAUGUCACCUCAAGUACCCGUGGGUAUGAUUAUACGAUAUGCAUCACACAAUCUCAGAUUCAUCUAUUCAACCAACACAAAGUACUUCAAAGAGUGACCCAAAGUUUCCACCGGAGAGUCAAGACGAAAACGUGUGCCAACCCCUAUGCAUAGGUUCAUGGGCGGAACCCGCAAGUUGAUCACCAAAACAUACAUCAAGUGGAUCAAUAGAAUACCCCAUUGUCACCACAGAUAAGCACAUGCAAGACAUACAUCAAGUGUUCUCAAAUCCUUAAAGACUCAAUCCGAUAAGAUAACUUCAAAGGGAAAACUCAAUCCAUUACAAGAGAGUAGAGGGGGAGAAACAUCAUAAGAUCCAACUAUAAUAGCAAAGCUCGCGAUACAUCAAGAUCGUGCCAUGUCAAGAACACGAGAGAGAGAGAGAUCAAACACAUAGCUACUGGUACAUACCCUCAGCCCCGAGGGUGAACUACUCCCUCCUCGUCAUGGUGAUUGUCGGGAUGAUGAAGAUGGCCACCGGUGAGGGAUCCCCCCUCCGGCAGGGUGCCGGAACAGGGUCCCGAUUGGCUUUUGGUGGCUACAGAGGCUUGCGGCGGCGGAACUCCCGAUCUCUUCUGUUCCCCGAUGGUUUUAGGGUAUAUGGAGAUAUAUAGGCGAAAGAAGUCGAUAAGGGGAGCCACGAGGGGCCCACGAGGGUGGAGGGCGCUCCCAGGGGGUGGGCGCGCCCCCUGCCUCGUGCCUUCCUCGUUGCUUCCCUUACGUACACUCCAAGUCUUCUGGAUUGCUUCCGUUCCAAAAAUAACUUUCCCGAAGGUUUCAUUCCGUUUGGACUCCGUUUGAUAUUCCUUUUCUGCGAAACACUGAAACAAGGAGAAAAACAGAAAUUGGCACUGGGCUCUGGGUUAAUAGGUUAGUCCCAAAAAUAAUAUAAAAGUGUUUAAUAAAGCCCAUAAACAUCCAAAACAGAUAAUAUAAUAGCAUGGAACAAUCAAAAAUUAUAGAUAAGUUGGAGAUGUAUCAGAGAGUUUGGAACCUGUAUCAACAGGGGUACAAGAAGUUUGACAAUCAAGCAUACCAGCACAAAAAAGAAGAUCCAGAGUGUACUGACGUUGAGACAAGAAAAGACCAGUGGAGUCACGGAUAACAGCAAUACCUAAGAAGUGGUGAAGAAGACCUAAAUCUGUCAUAGAGAAUUCGUGGCGAAGAAGAGAGAUAAUAUGAUCUAAAAAUUGUUGUGAGGAUAAUAUCAUCAACAUAUAAAAGAAGGUAAGCAGUGUUGUUGUUGUGAUGAAAGGUGAAGAGUGAAGUGUCAGAACGGGAAGGGGUAAAACCAAUGGUUUGAGCAUAAGUAGAAAAACGUUCGAACCAGGCACGUGGUGCUUGUUUAAGACCAUAAAGAGAUUUUGAAGAAGACAAACAUGAUUACGAUAGGAGGAAUGUUCGAAGCCAAGAGGUUGUUGGCAAUAGACUGUUUCUUGAAGAGAGCCAUGAAGGAAAGCAUUUUUGACAUCUAGUUGAUGAAUUGGCCAGGAAGAAGAGACGGCGAUGCUAAGGACAGUGCGAAUAGUGUUGGGCUUGACAACUGGAGAGAAAGUCUCAUCAUAAUUGAUGCCGUGUUGCUGAGAGUAACCAUGACAUACCCAUCGAGCCUUAUAACGUGCAAGACUCCCAUCGAAAUUAAAUUUAUGGCGAAAAACCCAUUUGCCCGAAACGAUAUUUGUACUGGAAGGGCGAGGAACUAACUGCCACGUGUUAUUCUGCAGAAGGGCAUCAUAUUCAUCUUUCAUAGCUGCGGCCCAAUUAGGAUUUAGGAGAGCUGAUUUGUAAGAUUUGGGUAGAGAGGAAGGAGAUAAAGAUACAUGAAAAUUGAGAUGAUCUUUUGCAGGUAAACGAAACCCGGACUUGGCACGUGUGCGCAUGGUAUGAUCGUUAGUAGGAGCUGGAACGGGAAUAGCAUGAGCAGGAGGGCUGGGGGAAGAUGUGGUGGACGCGUCCGACGCAGCGGAGGAAGCGGACAUGAGGGAUGGUGGUGAAGACUGCGGCUGCAGGAAGUCUGCCGUGUCAGAGUGUAAUGUGUUUUCUUCUGCCGGGACAGAGGUGAUGAUAGAAGUGGUGGUGGCAGGAUCUGCAACUGCGGCAGGUUUUGCUGGAUUGGUCGGCGGGUGAAAGAAGGGAAGAUGAUUGCGACGAGGGGGACUAGUGGACGGAGCGGGUGAGUUGGAAUCUAAUUGUUGACGAUUGGAAAAGGGAAAAAUGUUUUCAGCAAAUGUUACAUGACGAGACACAUGAACAUGACCACUAACAAGAUCUAGAAAACGAUAACCCUUGUGCUCAUCAGAAAAACCUAGAUGGACACACGGGAUAGAGCGCGGGGAAAGUUUGUUAGGAGAAGUGGAGUAGGAGUUUGGAAAACAAAGACAACCGAAGACGCGAAUGUCGGAGUAAUUUGGAUGAGAUAGAAAUAAAGAGAAGUAAGGAGUAGUUUGUGGGUUAACUUUAGAUGGAUGAAUAUUUAGUAAAUAUGUGGCCGUGUGGAGUGCCUCUGCCCAGAACAUCGACGGCAUAGAAGAUUGAAGAAGCAGAGUGCGAAUGAUGUCAUUAAGAGUACGAAGAGAACGCUCGGCUUUGCCGUUUUGAGGGGAGGUAUAAGGACAGGAGAAACAUAAGAGAAUUCCAUAUUGUAGAAAGAAAUUUCGAUUUUUAAAGUUGUCAAAUUCACGACCAUUAUCACAUUGUAUGAAUCUUAUAGGGAGGGAAAAAGUGGACCGAGACAUAGCGCUGAAAGUUAAGGAAUAUAUUAUGAACGUCGGAUUUGUUUCGUAAAGGAAAAGUCCAAACAUAAUGAGUAAAAUCAUCAAGAAUCACGAGAUAAUACUUAAAACCAGAUACACUUUCUAUUGGUGAUGUCCAGAGAUCACAAUGAAGUAAUUCAAAAGGAAAAGUACUAGAGGAUUGAGAGGACCUAAAGGGAAGGCGAACAUGUUUGCCCAAUGACAUGACUGACACAUAGAAGAAUUAUGAGAGCAACUCUAGCAGACCCUGCAAAAACUUGACCCGCAAAACGCGUUUGCAGUUUCACGAAGAUCGUGUUUGCGGGUCGAAAACUAGCGCGGCCGAACAGAUACUGUAAAACAAACUGUAAAACUGGAAUAAAGAGCUCCUUCCUCCAGUCCGGCCGUUGCCGCCCCUUCCUCCAGCCGGCCGCGCCCCAUCGCCCAUCGGUCGCGCCCCGUCCCUGCCGGUCACGCCCAGCCUCGCCAGCCACGCCCCGUCGCCUCCGUCGUCCGCGCCCAGCCUUGCCGUCCACGCCCCGUCGCCUCCGUCGUCCGCGCCUUGCUCUAUUUCCAGGCGAGCCAUGCCCCUUUGCCUGCUGCGUCGGGAGGAUGUUGGGGAACGUAGUAAUUUCAAAAAAAUUCCUACGCACACGCAAGAUCAUGGUGAUGCAUAGCAACGAGAGGGGAGAGUGUUGUCCACGUACCCUCGUAGACCGAAAGCAGAAGCGUUAUCACAACGCGGUUGAUGUAGUCGUACGUCUUCACAAUCCAACCGAUCAAGUACCGAACGCACGGCACCUCCGUGUUCAGCACACGUUCAGCUCGAUGACGUCCCUCGAACUCCGAUCCAGCCGAGUGUUGAGGGAGAGUCUCGUCAGCACGACGGCAUGGUGACGAUGAUGAUGUUCUAACGACGCAGGGCUUCGCCUAAGCUCCGCAACAAUAUUAUCGAGGUGUAAUAUGGUGGAGGGGGGCACCGCACACGGCUAAAAUAUCGUAUAUCAAUUGUGUGUCUAGAGGUGCCCCCCUACCCCCGUAUAUAAAGGAGCAAGGGGGGAGGCCGGCAGCCCUUUGGGGCGCGCCAAUGAGAGGGGGGAGUCCUCCUCCUAGUAGGAGUAGGACUCCCCUUUCCUAGUCCAACUAGGAAGAGAGAGGGGGAAGGAAAGAGAGGGAGAGGGAAAGAGGGGCCGCGCCCCCCUCCCCUAGUCCAAUUCGGACUCCUCAUGGGAGGGGGCGCGCCACCUCCUGGCUGCUGCCCUCUCUCUCCCCUCAGGCCCACUAAGGCCCAAUACUUCCCCGGGGGGUUCCGGUAACCCCUCCGGCACUCCGGUUUUAUCCGAAACUUCUCCGGAACACUUCCGGUGUCCGAAUAUAGUCGUCCAAUAUAUCAAUCUUUAUGUCUCGACCAUUUCGAGACUCCUCGUCAUGUCCAUGAUCACAUCCGGGACUCCGAACAACCUUCGGUACAUCAAAACAUAUAAACUCAUAAUAUAACUGUCAUCGUAACUUUAAGCGUGCGGACCCUACGGGUUCGAGAACUAUGUAGACAUGACCGAGACACCUCUCUGGUCAAUAACCAAUAGCGGAACCUGGAUGCUCAUAUUGGUUCCCACAUAUUCUACGAAGAUCUUUAUCGGUCAGACCGCAUAACAACAUACGUUGUUCCCUUUGUCAUCGGUAUGUUACUUGUCCGAGAUUCGAUCGUCGGUAUCUCGAUACCUAGUUCAAUCUCGUUACCGGCAAGUCUCUUUACUCGUUCUGUAAUACAUCAUCCCGCAACUAACUCAUUAGUUACAAUGCUUGCAAGGCUUAAAGUGAUGUGUAUUACUGAGUGGGCCCAGAGAUACCUCUCUGACAAUCGGAGUGACAAAUCCUAAUCUCGAAAUACGCCAACCCAACAAGUACCUUUGGAGACACCUGUAGAGCACCUUUAUAAUCACCCAGUUACGUUGUGACGUUUGGUAGCACACAAAGUGUUCCUCCGGUAAACGGGAGUUGCAUAAUCUCAUAGUCAUAGGAACAUGUAUAAGUCAUGAAGAAAGCAAUAGCAACAUACUAAACGAUCGAGUGCUAAGCUAACGGAAUGGGUCAAGUCAAUCACGUCAUUCUCCUAAUGAGGUGAUCCCGUUAAUCAAAUGACAACUCAUGUCUAUGGCUAGGAAACAUAACCAUCUUUGAUUAACGAGCUAGUCAAGUAGAGGCAUACUAGUGACACUCUGUUUGUCUAUGUAUUCACACAUGUAUUAUGUUUCCGUUUAAUACAAUUCUAGCAUGAAUAAUAAACAUUUAUCAUGAUAUAAGGAAAUAAAUAAUACUUUAUUAUUGCCUCUAGGGCAUAUUUCCUUCAGUCUCCCACUUGCACUAGAGUCAAUAAUCUAGAUUACACAGUAAUGAUUCUUACACCCAUGGAGUCUUGGUGCUGAUCAUGUUUUGCUCGUGGAAGAGGCUUAGUCAACGGGUCUGCAACAUUCAGAUCUGUAUGUAUCUUGCAAAUUUUUGUGUCUCCCACCUGGACUAAAUCCCGGAUGGAAUUGAAGCGUCUUUUGAUGUGCUUGGUUCUCUUGUGAAAUCUGGAUUCCUUUGCUAAGGCAAUUGCACCAGUAUUGUCACAAAAGAUUUUCAUUGGUCCCGAUGCACUAGGUAUGACACCUAGAUCGGAUAUGAACUCCUUCAUCCAGACUCCUUCAUUUGCUGCUUCCGAAGUAGCUAUGUACUCCGCUUCACACGUAGAUCCCGCCACGACACUUUGCUUAGAAAUGCACCAACUGACAGCUCCACCGUUCAAUGUAAAUACGUAUCCGGUUUGCGAUUUAGAAUCGUCCGGAUCAGUGUCAAAGCUUGCAUCAACGUAACCACUUACGAUGAGCUCUUUGUCACCUCCAUAAACGAGAAACAUAUCCUUAGUCCUUUUCAAGUAUUUCAGGAUGUUCUUGACCGCUGUCCAGUGAUCCACUCCUGGAUUACUUUGGUACCUCCCUGGUAAACUUAUAGCAAGGCACACAUCAGGUCUGGUACACAGCAUUGCAUACAUGAUAGAGCCUAUGGCUGAAGCAUAGGGAACAUCUUUCAUCUUCUCUCUAUCUUCUGCAGUGGUCGGGCAUUGAGUCUUACUCAAUCUCACACCUUGUAGUACAGGCAAGAACCCUUUCUUUGCUUGAUCCAUUUUGAACUUCUUCAAAACUUUGUCAAGGUAUGUGCUUUGUGAAAGUCCAAUUAAGCGUCUUGAUCUAUCUCUAUAGAUCUUAAUGCCUAAUAUAUAUGCAGCUUCACCGAGGUAUUUCAUUGAAAAAAUCUUAUUCAAGUAUCCCUUUAUGCUAUCCAGAAAUUCUAUAUCAUUUCCAAUCAGCAAUAUGUCAUCCACAUAUAAUAUCAGAAAUGCUACUGAGCUCCCACUCACUUUCUUGUAAAUACAGGCUUCUCCAAAAGUCUGUAUAAAACCAAAUGCUUUGAUCACACUAUAAAAGCGUUUAUUCCAACUCCGAGAGGCUUGCACCAGUCCAUAAAUGGAUCGCUGGAGUUUGCACACUUUGUUAGCUCCCUUUGGAUCGACAAAACCUUCCGGUUGCAUCAUAUACAACUCUUCUUCCAAAAAACCAUUCAGGAAUGCAGUUUUUACAUCCAUUUGCCAAAUUUCAUAAUCAUAAAAUGCGGCAAUUGCUAACAUGAUUCGGACAGACUUAAGCAUCGCUACGGGUGAGAAGGUCUCAUCGUAGUCAAUCCCUUGAACUUGUCGAAAACCUUUCGCAACAAGUCGAGCUUUAUAGACAGUAACAUUACCAUCAGCGUCAGUCUUCUUCUUGAAGAUCCAUUUAUUUUCAAUGGCUUGCCGACCAUCGGGCAAGUCAACCAAAGUCCAUACUUUGUUCUCAUACAUGGAUCCCAUCUCGGAUUUCAUGGCUUCAAGCCAUUUUGCGGAAUCUGGGCUCACCAUCGCUUCUUCAUAGUUCGUAGGUUCAUCAUGGUCUAGUAACAUAACCUCCAGAACAGGAUUACCGUACCACUCUGGUGAGGAUCUUGAUCUAGUUGACCUACGAGGUUCAGUAAUAACUUGAUCUGAAGUUUCAUGAUCAUUAUCAUUAACUUCCUCACUAAUUGGUGUAGGUGUCGCAGAAACUGAUUUCUGUGAUGAUCUACUUUCCAAUAAGGGAGCAGGUACAGUUACCUCGUCAAGUUCUACUUUCCUCCCACUCACUUCUUUCGAGAGAAACUCCUUCUCUAGAAAGGAUCCAUUCUUAGCAACGAAUAUCUUGCCUUCGGAUCUGUGAUAGAAGGUGUACCCUCCUUUGGGUAUCCUAUGAAGACACAUUUCUCCGAUUUUGGUUCGAGCUUAUCAGGUUGAAGUUUCUUCACAUAAGCAUCGCACCCCAAACUUUAAGAUACGACAACUUUGGUUUCUUGCCAAACCAUAGUUCAUAAGGCGUCGUCUCAACGGAUUUCGAUGGUGUCCUAUUUAGAGUGAAUGCAGCCGUCUCUAAAGCAUAACCCCAAAACGAUAGCGGUAAAUCAGUAAGAGACAUCAUAGAUCGCACCAUAUCUAAUAAAGUACGAUUACGACGUUCGGACACACCAUUACGUUGUGGUGUUCCGGGUGGCGUGAGUUGCGAAACUAUUCCGCAUUGUUUCAAAUGUAGGCCAAACUCGUAACUCAAAUAUUCUCCUCCACGAUCUGAUUGUAGAAACUUUAUUUUCUUGUUACGAUGAUUUUCAGCUUCACUCUGAAAUUCUUUGAACUUUUCAAAUGUUUCAGACUUAUGUUUCAUUAAGUAGAUAUACCCAUAUCUGCUCAAAUCAUCUGUGAAGGUGAGAAAAUAACGAUAUCCGCCACGAGCCUCAAUAUUCAUCGGACCACAUACAUCUGUAUGUAUGAUUUCCAAUAAAUCUGUUGCUCUCUCCAUAGUUUCGGAGAACGGUGUUUUAGUCAUCUUGCCCAUGAGGCACGGUUCGCAAGUACCAAGUGAUUCAUAAUCAAGUGAUUCCAAAAGUUCAUCAGUAUGGAGUUUCUUCAUGCGCUUUACACCGAUAUGACCUAAACGGCAGUGCCACAAAUAAGUUGCACUGUCAUUAUCAACUCUGCAUCUUUUGGCUUCAACAUUAUGAAUAUGUGUGUCACUACUAUCGAGAUUCAUUAAAAAUAGACCACUCUUCAAGGGUGCAUGACCAUAAAAGAUAUUAUUCAUAUAAAUAGAACAACCAUUAUUCUCUGAUUUAAAUGAAUAACCGUCUCGCAUCAAACAAGAUCCAGAUAUAAUGUUCAUGCUCAACGCUGUCACCAAAUAACAAUUAUUUAGGUCUAAUACUAAUCCCGAAGGUAGAUGUAGAGGUAGCGUGCCGACGGCGAUCACAUCGACUUUGGAACCAUUUCCCACGCGCAUCGUCACCUCGUCCUUAGCCAAUCUUUGCUUAAUCCGUAGCCCCUGUUUCGAGUUGCAAAUAUUAGCAACAGAACCAGUAUCAAAUACCCAGGUGCUACUGCGAGCAUUAGUAAGGUACACAUCAAUAACAUGUAUAUCACAUAUACCUUUGUUAACCUUGCCAUCCUUCUUAUCCGCCAAAUACUUGGGGCAGUUCCGCUUCCAGUGACCAGUCUGCUUGCAUUAGAAGCACUCAGUUUCAGGCUUAGGUCCAGACUUGGAUUUCUUCUCCUGAACAGCAACUUGCUUGCUGUUCUUCUUGAAGUUCCCCUUCUUCUUCCCUUUGCCCUUUUUCUUGAAACUAGUGGUUUUACUGACCAUCAACACUUGAUGCUCCUUUUUGAUUUCUACCUCCGCUGCCUUUAGCAUUGCGAAGAGCUCGGGAAUUGUCUUAUCCAUCCCUUGCAUGUUAUAUUUCAUCACGAAGCUCUUGUAGCUUGGUGGCAGUGAUUGAAGAAUUCUGUCAAUGACGCUAUCAUCCGGAAGAUUAACUCCCAGUUGAAUCAAGUGAUUAUUAUACCCAGACAUUUUGAGUAUAUGCUCACUGACAGAACUAUUCUCUUCCAUCUUGCAGCUGUAGAACUUAUUGGAGACUUCAUAUCUCUCAAUCCGGGCAUUUGCUUGAAAUAUUAAUUUCAACUCCUGGAACAUCUCAUAUGCUCCAUGACGUUCAAAACGUUGUUGAAGACCCGGUUCUAAGCCGUAAAGCAUGGCACACUGAACUAUUGAGUAGUCAUCAGCUUUGCUCUGCCAGACGUUCAUAACUUCUGGUGUUGCUCUUGCAGGAGGCCUGGCACCUAGCGGUGCUUCCAGGACGUAAUUCUUCUGUGCAGCAAUGAGGAUAAUCCUCAAGUUACGGACCUAGUCCGUGUAAUUGCUACCAUCAUCUUUCAACUUUGCUUUCUCAAGGAACGCAUUAAAAUUCAACGGAACAACAGCACGGGCCAUUUAUCUACAAUUAACAUAGACAAGCAAGAUACUAUCAGGUACUAAGUUCAUGAUAAAUUCAAGUUCAAUUAAUCAUAUUACUUAAGAACUCCCACUUAGAUAGACAUCCCUCUCAUCAUCUAAGUGAUUACGUGAUCCAAAUCAACUAAACCAUGUCCGAUCAUCACGUGAGAUGGAGUAGUUUCAAUGGUGAACAUCACUAUGUUGAUCAUAUCUACUAUAUGAUUCACGCUCGACCUUUCGGUCUCCGUGUUCCGAGGCCAUAUCUGCAUAUGCUAGGCUCGUCAAGUUUAACCUGAGUAUUCCGCGUGUGCAACUGUUUUGCACCCGUUGUAUUUGAACGUAGAGCCUAUCACACCCGAUCAUCACGUGGUGUCUCAGCACGAAGAACUUUCGCAACGGUGCAUACUCAGGGAGAACACUUUUAUCUUGAAAUUUUAGUGAGAGAUCAUCUUAUAAUGCUAUCGUCAAUCAAAGCAAGAUAAGAUGCAUAAAAGAUAAACAUCACAUGCAAUCAAUAUAAGUGAUAUGAUAUGGCCAUCAUCAUCUUGUGCUUGUGAUCUCCAUCUCCGAAGCACCGUCAUGAUCACCAUCGUCACCGGCGCGACACCUUGAUCUCCAUCGUAGCAUCGUUGUCGUCUCGCCAACUAUUGCUUUUAUGACUAUCGCUACCGCUUAGUGAUAAAGUAAAACAAUUACAUGGCGAUUGCAUUUCAUACAAUAAAGCGACAACCAUAUGGCUCCUGCCAGUUGCCGAUAACUCGGUUACAAAACAUGAUCAUCUCAUACAAUAAAAUAUAGCAUCAUGUCUUGACCAUAUCACAUCACAACAUGCCCUGCAAAAACAAGUUAGACGUCCUCUACUUUGUUGUUGCAAGUUUUACAUGGCUGCUACGGGCUUAGCAAGAACCGUUCUUACCUACGCAUCAAAACCACAACGAUAGUUUGUCAAGUUGGUGCUGUUUUAACCUUCGCAAGGACCGGGCGUAGCCACACUCGGUUCAACUAAAGUGAGAGAGACAGACACCCGCCGGUCACCUUUAAGCAACGAGUGCUCGCAACGGUGAAACCAGUCUCGCGUAAGCGUACGCGUAAUGUCGGUCCGGGCCACUUCAUCUCACAAUACCGCUGAACCAAAGUAUGACAUGCUGGUAAGCAGUAUGACUUAUAUCGCCCACAACUCACUUGUGUUCUACUCGUGCAUAGCAUCAACGCAUAAAACCAGGCUCGGAUGCCACUGUUGGGGAACGUAGUAAUUUCAAAAAAAUUCCUACGCACACGCAAGAUCAUGGUGAUGCAUAGCAACGAGAGGGGAGAGUGUUGUCCACGUACCCUCGUAGACCGAAAGCGGAAGCGUUAUCACAACGCGGUUGAUGUAGUCGUACGUCUUCACGAUCCGACCGAUCAAGUACCGAACGCACGGCACCUCCGAGUUCAGCACACGUUCAGCUCGAUGACGUCCCUCGAACUCUGAUCCAGCCGAGUGUUGAGGGAAAGUUUCAUCAGCACGACGGCGUGGUGACGAUGAUGAUGUUCUACCAACGCAGGGCUUCGCCUAAGCUCCGCAACGAUAUUAUCGAGGUGUAAUAUGGUGGAGGGGGGCACCGCACACGGCUAAAAUAUCGUAUAUCAAUUGUGUGUCUAGAGGUGCCCCCCUGCCCCCGUAUAUAAAGGAGCAAGGGGGGAGGCCGGCUGCCCUUUGGGGCGCGCCAAGGAGAGGGGGGAGUUCUCCUCCUAGUAGGUGUAGGACUCCCCUUUCCUAGUCCAACUAGGAAGAGAGAGGGGGAAGGAAAGAGAGGGAGAGGGAGAGGGAAAGAGGGGCCGCGCCCCCCUCCCCUGGUCCAAUUCGGACUCCUCAUGGGAGGGGUCGCGCCACCUCCUGGCUGCUGCCCUCUCUCUCCCCUCAGGCCCACUAAGGCCCAAUACUUCCCCGGGGGGUUCCGGUAACCCCUCCGGCACUCCGGUUUUAUCCGAAACUUCUCCGGAACACUUCCGGUGUCCGAAUAUAGUCGUCCAAUAUAUCAAUCUUUAUGUCUCGACCAUUUUGAGACUCCUCGUCAUGUCCAUGAUCACAUCCGGGACUCCGAACAACCUUCGGUACAUCAAAACAUAUAAACUCAUAAUAUAACUGUCAUCGUAACUUCAAGCGUGCGGACCCUACGGGUUCGAGAAGUAUGUAGACAUGACCGAGACACCUCUCCGGUCAAUAACCAAUAGCGGAACAUGGAUGCUCAUAUUGGUUCCCACAUAUUCUACGAAGAACUUUAUCGGUCAGACCGCAUAACAACAUACGUUGUUCCCUUUGUCAUCGGUAUGUUACUUGUCCGAGAUUCGAUCGUCGGUAUCUCGAUACCUAGUUCAAUCUCGUUACCGGCAAGUCUCUUUACUCGUUCCGUAAUACAUCAUCCCGCAACUAACUCAUUAGUUACAAUGCUUGCAAGGCUUAAAGUGAUGUGUAUUACUGAGUGGGCCCAGAGAUACCUCUCCGACAAUCGGAGUGACAAAUCCUAAUCUCGAAAUACGCCAACCCAACAAGUACCUUUGGAGACACCUGUAGAGCACCUUUAUAAUCACCCAGUUACGUUGUGACGUUUGGUAGCACACAAAGCGUUCCUCCGGUAAACGGGAGUCGCAUAAUCUCAUAGUCAUAGGAACAUGUAUAAGUCAUGAAGAAAGCAAUAGCAACAUACUAAACGAUCGAGUGCUAAGCUAACGGAAUGGGUCAAGUCAAUCACGUCAUUCUCCUAAUGAGGUGAUCCCGUUAAUCAAAUGACAACUCAUGUCUAUGGCUAGGAAACAUAACCAUCUUUGAUUAACGAGCUAGUCAAGUAGAGGCAUACUAGUGACACUCUGUUUGUCUAUGUAUUCACACAUGUAUUAUGUUUCCGUUUAAUACAAUUCUAGCAUGAAUAAUAAACAUUUAUCAUGAUAUAAGGAAAUAAAUAAUACUUUAUUAUUGCCUCUAGAGCAUAUUUCCUUCAGAGGAUUCCGGCAGCCAGGCUGAGGUCAUGGGAGGCCACGACGAUGUCGAGCUUGUCCAAUUCGAACCAGCGGCGAUCGAUUGCGGCGUCUAGCGGCCUUUUCCGAUGUGCGGUGAUGAAUUCUGGCGAGUUUAGGGCGGAUUCCGGCAAACUCCGCGGCGGCGUGUUUGCUCCGACGAGGUUUGACCGGUAUACGGGGGCCCCUAUAUUCGGCCUUCCAACCUCCAAAGAUAAGGGUUUCGGGUGUGCAUUUGCGGUGGCCCUUAAAAAUUUUACGGGUUGGACUACUUUUACGGUUUCUGUUCUGGACACUUUUUUUUGCCCAAAACUGUAAAACGCAAAAAAUUUGCGGGUUUGACCACUUAUGCGGGGUCUGCUAGAGAUGCUCUCAGAAUCUCUAUUACAAGGUAUUGAAAAUUCACUAAGAAGUGUGGAUAACACAUUUUUAUUGGGAUGGCCGAGACGUUGGUGCCACAGAUCAACAGAGGCCACCAUAGAUGUUGGAGGAGCAGCGACCGGAGCACCAUGGAGAGAAUAUAAAUCACCGGAGCUAUUGAAUCGAGCGAUCUCGGCCUUGGUCGGGUAGUCCUUCACGGACAAACCAAAGGGGUCAAACUCAACAGAAACAUGAUUAUCAGUGGUGAUUUGGCGAACAGAAAUCAGAUUUUUAAUAAGAGCAGGAGCUACAAGAACAUCACGAAGAAGCAAAGGCUUAGUUGGGGAUUGGAUUUGAGCCUGACCGACGCAGUAAAUAGGAAUAGAGGAUCCAUCACCGAGAGUAAUGGAGGGAAAAGGCGAAGGUGUGCAAGAAGAAAGCAAAUUACUCGAUGCAGACAUAUGACGAGAAGCACCAGAAUCGAAAAUCCAAUCCGUACCUGAGUUCCCUUGUGCAGCAAAGUUGUUCAUGACUUGUAGAAAAGCAGCUUGGUCCCAGCUCGGAGUCAAAGUAGAGGUCAGUGUAGUCAUGGGAGCUUGCGGGUGUGGUGGCGUUGGUAGUAGGGCCGGCAUCGGCGUAAAGAGAGAGGCACCAUCAUUGUACUGCUGCAUAUAGGGGGACGAUGGAGCACCAUACGAUGCAUAAGGAGUGGUGUUGUAGAUCGGUGGUGCGUAGGCGGGAGCAGCGUGGUACGCGGCCGUCGACUGUCGGGGCGCGAGGACGGGCGCGCCGGUGUGAGGGCGAGCACCGGGCUGCCAGCCACCGGUAUAGACAGGCGGGGCACCAUAUGGCGUAGGGGCGGACCAGGGCAUAGGCCACGCCUGGACUAGCCCUGUCCAUGGAUCAGGAGAUGGGUGCCAUCCGGGCGGCGGUGGUGGUGCAGUUGAUGAAGCCGGGGGCGGUGGUGGUGCAGUUGUGGAGCCGGGGGCGGAGCAGGAGCGGGCGCCAUGCGGAACUGCGGCGGCCUAGGGUUUUUGCCCCGGUAGUUAGGACUUGGACGCCAGCCGGAUGGUUGAGGAGGUGCUGUUGGUGGAGGUGGUGGUGGCGGCAUCGACGUAGGCCGGCGAGGAGAAGCAGUGAAGACCUGAGGACGGGAGUCCUUCGUAGUUAGGGCACGAUCGGCCCAUUGGAGCAUCGAGCGAACCAGUGAAGGAGGGACGCGGACGCAUCAUAGGGAUGAAGGAGGCCUGCUUCUCGAACCGCUUGCCGAGGCCGACGAGGAGGACGUUGAUGAGCUGGCGAUCGUCGAUCGGAUCACCAAGUUCGCAGAGUUCAUCCGCGAUCGCCUUGAGGCGUUGGCAUUAGACGCCGACUGGUGAAUCACCUUGCACCGUAUUUCAAAGCUCGGAGUGGAGAUUGUUAGCGCGAGCGUCGACGUUGUCCUGGAAGAGCUGACGAAGGGCCGCCCAUAGAUUGGCGGCGGAGGCACCGUCACAGUGGACGAGAUUGAAGAUCUCUGCGGAGACUCACAUGUAGAUCCAUUGAAUAAUGGCAAGGUCAUCCUUGACCCAUUGCGGAUCAUGAAGUUGAGGAAGAGAGUCGUCGGCAACGUGAGAGCGGAGAUUGCAUCGCCCAAGGUGGACGUCAAAGAGGUGACGCCAAUGGUAGUAGUUGUGAGCAGCAAGUUCUAGGGUUAUGGGGAUGUAGGGGCUAAUAUCGGAGAUGGUGUCGGUGAAGGAGAUGGAAGGGGCUAUUGGUGGGGGUAAAGCUAGAGUAGAGGUAGAGGUGGAGGAGGCCGUGGCCGCGGCGACCUUGGCGGCGCGCCGCUCGAAGUAGCGGGGUGGCGGCGGUGGCGGGGCUGGCGGGUUAGCCAUACCCUAGGAUCGAAAGUCUGAUACCAUGUAGAAUUGUAUUAAUAAUUGUUGAUGCAAUAUUGUGCCAGUACAAGAGGUAUAUAUAAGAGCCAAGCCGCACCUGACCUAGCCCUAUUACAAACCGAAUAGGAGUCUUAAUCCUAUUACAAGUUGUAUUCUAACAUUUGCGUGUGGGGGGAAAGGCCAGAUGCCGAUCCAACCGCCACGCGCAUCCAAAUCAAACACAUCUUACAGCUGGGAGGCGACCGGCCCAAAGCUGGCGCCGGUCAGCCGGCGGCCAGGGACAUCACGUUUCUGGAUUUAGUUGCAAGACGUGCGCUGUCCGAUCAUUUUUUUCCGUGGAUAGAGCGACGUCCAAACGGCCAACCGACGGCCACUCACUUCGGCUAGCUCAGGCCAGCAGCACAAAACCAAACAAACGAGCGCGAGCGCAGGCCAUCGCAUCCAUCUCAUGGCGCUCCUCUCCAUCCUACGCUCGUCUCCGCUGGCCGUCCCCGCGGCCUCUUCUCGCCGCCCACCCAACCACGGCGUCCACCUACUACGCGUCAGCACCAGGGCCGCGCCGUCUCUGUCUGUGAGGUGCGAGCAGAGCAGCAAGCCGGGCGGCGGCAGCGUCGUCGACGUGUGGGCGAGCCGCCUGGCCAUGAUGAGCUUCGCCGCGGCGGUCGUCGCCGAGGUGUCCACCGGCAAGGGCUUCGUGGAGGUAUGUACGCUCCCAUGGAUCGACCCGUGCCACCAUGCUCUGCUGGGCUAGUUGCUCGCUACUGACAGCGCUCUGACGUGCUUUGCAGAACUUCGGCGUGGCAACACCGGCGCCGGCGUUGGCACUGGUGGUGACGGCGCUCGUCAUCGGCCUGGCCGUCCUCUUCAUCGUCAGGUCGGGAGCGCAAGAUUGAUGGAUCCAUCGCACGAAAUAAUUGAAGACCCUUUUCUAGAAUACAAUACAAAGUAAGCGGAGACCUAUUUCUGAAGAACGAGCGUGCAGAUCUUCUUUGCAUCUGGUUUGCAAAGAUUCCUGGAGAUUAUAAUUAGCAUUACUUCUGACUGUAAAUGAUCUGAUGUAUCAUGGUACUACUGCUGUGAGCAUAUUCAUAUGGAAAAUUCUGGUUCAAAUUCAAGUGAGCCAAAGGCUUCCGAUGUUGCUACCAUUCUGUGUGUGAAACUGUGAAUUCAGACCGAUGCUCAAAGUUCAGGCUCUAACACCCUGUUAAUGAUUCGGUUAUAUGAUUGCAAUGUCCGUUCAGAUGUGUAUAUGCCAUAUAUGAAGUCCCUGAAAUAAAAACAUUGCAUAUCUCUAAAACUAAAACAUGCAAAUGGACGAAACAUGUGUCUUGUGUAGAGUUGUGUGCCUGGGUAAACGUUGGUGGUACCUAGAGUCACCUGAAUUCGUGAUGGAUUUCUUCUGCACCCAGAUGAUUGCUUCCUGGGAACACUGGUCUUCCACUGGCGACAUGAAUACCUUUGAUUUAGCCCUGUAUUUAUAUGUAUGUGGUAGGUACACUCACAGUAUGAACUUGCGAUUGAAAUGGAGGGAGUGCAUCUUACACUUGGCAGGGUAUACUGGAAGCGUGACAGCAUGAGAUUAUGCAAGUUUUCGGCCUGGCGAUUUCCCUGCCCCGGAGUUGAGAAGGGGGAAAAGAAUCUGCCAUGGGAGCUAUUACUUGAUUUAAGAACCCACACAAAAUUUUCAGUGUUCAGCAGCAUGUCCAGCAUCUGCUGGAGUGUAGACAGACAUCAGGCACGGGCACCCUGGCAUAAAUGGCAAUCCAAAAACUCCAAACCUCCCGUCAUCAAGCACUAGUAUCAGCGCAUUACACGACAUUGUUGUCGCGCCUGGUAAAAUCUUGUGCCAUGUUGAUUUGCUUCAGGGACACUUCUUUUGCUUAGAUUUACGGUUACUCCGUGUGCAUUUUAGUAGGCAUGUACUAGGUGUUUCUGCCAUGAUCCACUUAUUAAAAAUAUUCAUAAUCGCAUGAAUGAUUGCUUUCUGGAGCACUCAACUUCCAGUGGGGGGGCAUGGUUACCAAGGGUGUCGUGUCCAAGGUGAAAUAUUUUCCUGGGUGUGGAUGUUCCUUCUUCAGGCAAAACCUAAUUCCUCCAUGAUAUAACUUUCCUAGUAUGAGGCGUGCAAAUUUUAUUGACGUUUUUAUAUAUAGCACUAUCUUGUGACAAAAACUAGUAUGAAUAACACGGUACCUUUAUCUUGUUUACUGAUCUCCUUAUCUUUCUGGCCACCCAAAAAUAUGCCUUGCAAUUUCAAAUGGAGGGAGUGUAUUUUUAUUUUACACUUGGGGAGGGCUCGAGAUGUUGCCAAAUAUGGUUGUGCCCGGCAGUUUUCCUGUCUCAGCAGUUGAAAAAAGGAAAAGGGAACCUGCGUUGUUGCUAGCUUUAGCAACGUGCAUGAGCACACGGAAACUUUUCAAGUAUUCAGUAGCAUGUCAGCAUCUCAUCUUGGUGGACUGGUCAUGGCAAAUCUCAUCAAAAACUCAAAUCCCCCUUCACCAUGAAUUAGCACCACCAUAUUACUGUAUCGGCGCAUUACGCUACAAGCAAGUGAUGCUGAUAUAAUGCUACAAGCAAGUGAUGCUGAUUAACAGAACAUACGCGGGAGCAUAAAUACAACUCCAGUUGUUAUUAUUAUAGAGUAGGCUCAGUUUUGCUGAGGAGACGACCCGAGAUUUAGUACAAAUAUUACAUACUGAACAUGACACAACAACGGAACAAAUAAAAGUUCUAAUACAGUAACAGAUGUCUGCUCUUCAGCCUUUUGAUCGCAGUAACCUUAACAGAUUCAGUUCAACUGAUCAGUUGCCAUUGCACCGACACAAAUUCUCGCGGAUGAUAAAACCGACAGUAACAAAACGGUCCGAUUGCUUCAGCAAGUAACGAAAACAACCACUUUGACAUGAAUUUGUACAAUAACAUAACAGAUAACCUUCUCGCCAAGUCGCGACGACACGGAAAUGUGUAACAAAAUGAAAGCGACAAUGUCAACCUUUGCUGAGAACCGUCAG